AUUUAGUAGAUAGUUGGUGAAAUAAUAUAAUCAAAGAGAUAGAAUUAGUUAAAUGAUAGAUCUAAUGACGAAAAAAUUGAUAAUACUAAAUGUUUUAUACAAUUAGAAAUAAUUAGUCGAACUCUUUCUCUCUCUAUAUAUUGUGAGACCUCAAAUAAUCUUAUAUAUAAGAUAUAAUAGGGCUAGAACUCUUAACCAGGCUUUAACCCGGCUUAAGCAUUUUGGUGUUGGUUAGGCCCAAAAGGUUAAGAAAGUUAAGCGUGUUAGGACGGGAGUAGUUCUAGAAUGGAUGACCUCCUGAAAAAUCAGGGCGUCACAAUAUAUAGUGCAGUUACUAUAAUUUCGAAAACAUAAAAGAGUUAGUGCUUCCGACUUUUUUGUUUUUGAAUCAAGAAUUAUAGAAUUGGAAUGAUGAUGGUCCCCCUAGGGUUUAAUAGUUUUUCUAGAACAAUAAUAUUAAUCCAAGUUCUAGAAAUUGUUAGAGGAUUAAUUCAAGUUUUAAAAAAUUGAAAGCAUUACAUAAGCGGUGCUUCCAGAAGUACCAUAGUCGUACUUUAUAUAUAUAAUUCAGCUAGUAUACUAUCUAUUUUUUUUUUACCUUUGGAUCAUUAAUAUUACAUCAAUCAUCCACUCAACUAAAUGGAUCGAAUGAUCACAAAACUUUUUAGUUGAACAUUAAUUCGACACUUUAAACUUAGUGAAAAUGGACAUAAAUCUUAUAAACUUUAGGGUGCGUUUGGUUCGCGCUAUCUUUUAAAGAUUUCUAGUAAUUCAAUGGGAAUAAAAAAAAUGACGGUGUUUGGCUAAAUGCACUAAGUAAUCUAGUUGGUAAUAUUGGAUUCAUUUGAGAAUAAGAUUCACCCCAAAGUACUAAUCUCAUUUCCUUGAGAGAGAGUGGGUAUCCUCAUAUUAAUGGAUUGGGGUAAUUACAUAUGUCUAAUCUCUUUCUUUCUUCCUACCCGCAGGCUAAUUGAUAUUAUUUUUCUUUACACUCUAACCUUACAUCUCUCUCUAAACUUAUUUUCCUUCCUAAAAUUUAACUUUUUUUUCUCUCUCUAAACUAAGCUUUCUCUCUCUCUCUUUCUAAAAUUUCAACUCUCUCACUCCCUCUAAUUUCGACUAUAUUUUUCUUUCUAUUUUUUUAAUUAUGCUCUCUCUCUCUAACUUUUACUCUCUCUUCCUUUUUUCUAAAAAGAUGUGAAAACUUUUAGUAACAUUAUCUAAAAUUAAUUAAAUUAAUUAAUUAAUUAAUUGUAUAUUUUUUGUAAUAUUAAAUAAUAUGGCUAAUUAAUAUUACCGUGCGAGCCAAAAACAUGAAUUUCACAUUCUUAGUAAUAGGAUGAAUAGGAAUAAGAUUCUCGGAUAUCUUUUAUUCCUAGUAAUCUUUCAUAAUGCGAACCAAACGCACCCUUAAUUCUUUCUGCGAACAAGUGUCCAAGCCUUUAAUUCUGUCAGUUAAAUUUUCUAUAUUUUUAAUUUUAAUCAUAUGUCUUGCAUAUAAUCUUGUAAAGUCUCUAAACACAAAAGAAUUUGUUUCACCUAUUUUAACGUGUAAAAAAAUAACAAAAGCCGAAACAAAGUUCACGUACAUUAUUCUCCGAUCCGUCUCCUAUGUAAUUAUCAAAAUUAUAAGAAAAAAUAUAUAUUUCUUAAUAUGUUAAAAUUUUGCAAAAUUAUCUGCAGAACAUAUGAUCAAAACCACUAUAGAAUUAAUUACUUCUAUCGAAUACAGGAAUACAUAGAUUUAUUUGAUAAAUUAAGUUUAAAAAAUUUAAUAUUAAAAUUAAAAGUUCAAAUACCUAUUUGCAAAAAACGUAAAUUCAGGAGUCUUUGUACAUUUUAACCUAAAAAAAAAUAAUACUUUUUAGCUGAAAAAAGUCAAAAAAUGAGCAGUUUUUUACGUUCAAAUUAGGCCUAGGAUGAAAUUAUUCUUAAGACUUCUUUUCCGACAAUCACGCAAUAAAUUUCAUGCCCUUCCUCAAACAAAGGGAGACAAACACCUAUGGAGCAACAAUUAUUGUGUCAACUAAACAUUUUGUUGACCUUUUUGUUGCAAAUUAGAGAAUAUAAUAUUACAAGCAUUAAUAUUGUUAAAGUUUGCACAUAUAUAUAGAGCAAGACUGUUAUGCUUUUAGAAAUACGGGGACCUCCGUACUCGUGAGCCAUUUUCGAUGAUAAAAUUUUCGAAUCGAUGAUCGGCUCCGUUAGAUUUGAUCUAGCAUAUUUGAAGUUUCUAGAAAAUAAUUUUUGAGAUUUUUCGAUAUCAUUUACCUAGUGAUCGAAAGAGUUCAAAAUCAAUAAUUUUUAAUAGUUGAUGUGUGCUAUUUUCAUGUUUAACGGUGUAGAAACAUUCAAAUCAAAUGAAAUUUUGAUACAAAAUUUUUUAUACUAUCUACAACAAGAUCAAUAUCUUUGAUUGAAAAUUUUAGUACUAUAUCACCACUUCUUAUAGAAUUUUUUUAUUUUCAGCCGUUGAUAUAUAUUAAAUCAUUUUGAUUGUUAGGUAAAUGAUAUCAAAAAUUGUAAAAAUUAUUUUCUAUAAAUUUUAAAUAUGCUAGAUUGAGUGUAACGGAGCCGAUCGUUGAUUUGAAAAUUUUAUCAUAAAAAACGGCUCAGAAACACGGAGGCCUCCAUGCUCCCAAGAGUAGAGCAAUCCUGCUCCAUAUAUAUAAACACCAUAUUAAUCUAAUAGCCCCUCAUUGCACCUUAUCUAAUUAAACAAGUCAAAAAAAAAAAAAAAAAAGCAGAACUUAAAUCUAAUCUUUAGAAGCUCUUUUUUAAUCAACAUGAACUCAUUGUAGUUGGAUUAAAUAAAAAAAUUGUUCAUGUUAGAACAGAAAUAAGAAGUGAAUUAAUUAAAAGGCAUGCUGCAGUGUGCGUGUCAGAAGAGUUUUAAUCCUACAAAAGAGCAUAAGAGUAAAAUAAUUAAUCUUCUUUUUACAACUAAACACUCUCUCUUUCAAGAGUUGAAAAAAAAGAGAUGUUUUUUGUCGAAUCGCUGGCACUAAUUAUUAAUUCUAAAAACUCAAACUGUUAGAAAAAUAUAAUCAAUUCACUUAAAGUGUAUAGACAUAUCGCCUAUACAGAUCUCGAAUGUGAUUACUCGGUCCAACCAGCCUCACACGACUUCGAAUAUUACUCGACCUAACCCAGCCUUACAUCAUUUUAAACAUAAAUUCACUUAACCUAAUCUCCCGCACACAGAGCAGAAUGCUGACCCUUUUAAGCCAAUAAUUACAUAAAUACUUUAAAUUUAAAUAUUAUAUAAAUAGUGGAUGAAACAGUUUCGAAAUCGAGACAAUAUCCACCAAAUUUGUUUUCAGUCAAUAUAAGUCUACAGCUUAAUUUGAAGUGUACUCCUACAACUUUGACUAUCCAAAGGCCAAAUUUAGAACUUACCAGAACUAAUCAUGGGGGGUGUUUGGCCUAACUUUUAAAAAAUUGCUUUUGGGCUCAAAAGUGAUUUUCGGCUCAAUAGAGCGUUCGGCAAAUUAUUUUUAAAAUCUGAUUUUGCUUUUUAGAAUCAGAAAAUUGAUUUUGAAGGCUCCGGAAUCAGAAACAGAAAAAAGCUGUUUCUUGAUAUCAGAUUCUGAGGCAGCGCCGAUGGUUGGAGUUACUGAAGGACUAUGAUAUUAGUAUUCAGUAUCAUCCCAGCAGGGCGAAUGUAGUGGCAGAUGCGUUGAGCAGGAGAGCAGCGCAGAGCUUGAGCUUGUUGAUUACUCAGCAGAGACCACUACUUGAGGAGCUACAGCGGCUAAGGCUUGAGGUGGUGUCCCCUGGGUCUACUGCGAGACUGAUGUCUCUGGUCUUGCAGCCCACUCUGUUGGAUAGGGUCCGGGAGAAACAGAGUGGAGAUCCGCAUUUGUUGAGGAUUCGAGAGCAGUUAGUUAGGGGACAGGCCGAGGGUUUUGCGUUAGACAGUUCGGGAGUACUGCGAUACAGGGAUCGACUGUGUGUGCCUGUGGAUUCAGAGAUCCGAGAGGACAUCUUGAGGGAGGCUCAUUGUACACCUUAUACGGUUCACCCUGGGAGAACCAAGAUGUAUAAGGAUUUGAAGGCACAGUUUUGGUGGAAUGGGAUGAAGAGGGAUAUUGGCAGAUUUGUAGGUCGGUGUCUGACUUGCCAACAGGUAAAAGCCGAGCAUCAGAUACCUGCUGGCAAGCUUCAGAGUCUGUCAGUGCCUGAGUGGAAAUGGGAACAGAUCACAAUGGAUUUCGUUGUGGGGUUGCCUAGAGCACAGGGUGGCUUCGAUGCGAUUUGGGUGAUAGCAGACAAAUUGACCAAGUCUUCUCACUUUCUAUCAGUUCAGACCACCUGAUCCAGAGAGAGACUCGCGCAGUUGUAUCUGGAUGAGAUUGUCAGGCUACAUGGUGUGCCAGUAUCGAUUGUAUCAGACCGAGACCCGAGAUUUGUGUCGCAUUUCUGGAGGAGUUUACAGACAGCUUUGGGGACUAAGUUAUAUUUCAGCACAGCGUUUCACCCACAGACGGAUGGUCAGUCGGAGCGGACUAUUCAGACUCUAGAGGACAUGCUAAGGGCGUGUGUCCUGGACUUCGGAGGAGGGUGGUAUCGACACUUGAGACUGGCAGAGUUUGCGUAUAACAAUAGCUAUCAAACGAGCAUUCAGAUGGCUCCGUUUGAGGCGUUAUAUGGAUGCAGGUGUCGAUCCCCGUUGUUUUGGAGUGAUGUGGGUGAGAGGAGGACACUUGGGCCUGAGAUUUUGCUAGAGGCUGAGGAAAAGGUGAGAGUUGUUCGACGACACCUUUUGACAGCCCAGAGCCGCCAGAGGAGCUACGCCGAUACCAGGAGACGAGACUUGGAGUUCCAGGUUGGAGAUCAUGUUUUUCUUAAAGUCUCGCCAUCCAGAGGGAUUCGCCGAUUUGGAGUGCGUGGAAAGCUCAGUCCACGUUUUGUUGGCCCUUUUGAGGUAUUGGAGCGAGUUGGACCAGUUGCUUACCGGAUUGCUCUACCACCCCGACUAGCUGGGAUUCAUGAUAUGUUCCACGUCUCAGCUUUGAGAAGAUAUGUUUUCGAUCCAUCUCACGUGAUUGACUUCACUCCACUAGAGAUUGGCGUGGAUCUGAGGUACGAGGAGCGACCGGUGCGGAUUCUUACUCGUGAGACGAAAGAAUUGCGCAACCGGCUCAUCCCGUAUGUGAAAGUACAGUGGAGCAAUCACGAGGAGCGGGAGGCGACUUGGGAGUCCGAGACCGCGAUGAGAGAGUCCUUUCCCGACCUGUUCGUUACUCCGUGUCGAGGUAUGUUUUAAGUUUCGGGGACGAAACUUUUUGUAGUGGGGAAGGAUGUAGUAUCCUUAUUUUAUUUAUUUAUUUAUUUAUCUUUUUUAGUCGAUUGGUGAUGCAUGGGGGUGGCUUUGGAUGCCACGUGCACCCCCCAUGCAUCCUUAUCUUGUGGCCUAUAUAGCUUUGAGAGGCAGAGAGGGAUAAUUAUGAUUUGCAAUUUCCUCUUUCUCUCUCUAGAUUGGUGGAGAGCUCGUGGAGGCCACAUUGAGCUUGGAGCGACAUCAACUUCACGCCGACGAGCCGUUGGAGCGUGCGUACGUCGUGGUAGUGCCGUUGGAGGCCGAGCGAGCACAGAAAUUUCUUCUCCUAUCGACUUCUCGCUAUUCUGAAUUAGCUUUUGAGGUGGGUUUAUCAUCGGAUUCCUACUCGUAUAGUCUUGUUGGUCGACAUGUAUAGUUAGUAUUACACAUUACUAUUGUUUUAGCUCAGUUUCAUAUUUGUAAAUGUUGUUUUCAUCUAAACUGAAAUUGGAGCCUAUUUGUAUAAAUAAAUUAUACAUGUUGGACAUGGAUUUGACAUAGGAGAAAACCCGCGUUCGGGACCUGACAUAUGCGAAACUACCUGAUUUAGGCCUAGGGGCCGUAGCAUUAUUUUAUACAGUUGCAGUAUCCUCAUAGUGAGUAUCCCAGGUAGUUUAGAUUACUGUUACGCUCGUACUGGGACGCCGAGCUGAUUUUUACAGUAGCGUUUAUAUUGUUCCAGACUAGUGGGUGCCGUGGUGGUUGACGGCGGACCCGGAUUUGAUUGCUUUGAUAUCAGAUUGUGCCAAGGGCACGUGACUAGUUGGUUGGUAGUCCAGUUGGACUUGUUUAUUUGACUUUAGCCUGUGAGAGUUUGAUUGAGCUCGGCAGAGAUACGCUUGCAUACUCGGUUGGGUCGCGCCCACGAGUGCCGCUCCGGAGUUUGGCUUUGUGCUUUCGCGUUGAUGUCACUGACUAAUUUUGCUAUCCACGGACUGUUUUGCGUGGAGGUAGCGUGGCUUAGACAGGCGGGACGGGUGCGUUCACAGUCCCCGGGACGGGUGUGUUCACAGUCCUUAUUGAGAUUGGGUCAGAUUUGACAGUUACUACAGUUGGAUAGUGUAGUGGCAGGUAGCUGUAGAUUUCUUUCCAGCUUUAACUACUAGUUUGUUUCUGACUGUAGUCUUAGUGGGUGGACCGAUGAUGUUGAGGGCGGUACCAACUGAGGACUACUUGUUUUUACAGUAGUUCUCACGCCCAGUUGUUACCCUGUGUUUUGCAGAGCCUGCUGUUCCGGCUGCUGCGUCUUCUGGGACUGAUCGAGGCAAGGGCGUCGCGAGCUAGAGCCCUACCCGACGAAUCGCCGUGCUAGAGGAUCCCCAACUGCAGGUAUCAGUGUUUUUAUUUUGAGCUUAUGUACAUACUGAUACUAGAACUCGCUGGAGCGAGUGUUGUUGUACUGGUUUGUUGGUAUGUAUAUAAGAUUGGUUCGUUCUACCUGCUUACUUCUUUUCAGCUCUACACUAUUGUUUGUAGUCUUGUAUUUUUUACAGAUACAGCUAUCGCUUCGUAUACAGAAAAAAUUUCUUUGUAUACGGCGGAUUUGUCGGCGUGCCCGAGGAACGUGUAAUCCGGGGCGUGACAUGUCAACCGGUCGGAUUCGGGGCGGAUUUUCAAAAAUCCUAAUCCGAACCGACUCCAAACCCGAGACCCGAACUCGAACCCAACGGAUUUUAAAAAUUCAUAUCCAAACCCGAACUCGACCAAAAAUCUGAAAUCCAAACCCGAAAAUUUGAACCUGAAAUAAUUAUUUCUUUUUUUAAUAUUUCAAAAUAUAUUAUAUUAAAUUUAAAAUUUUUAAAAUACAAAUUCAAAUAUAACAUAAAAUUUUUACAUAUAUAAUAUAUAAUACAAAAUAAAUUCAAAUUCGGAUUGGGUUCAGGUCGGGGACAGUCGAAAUCCAUAUUCGAAUCUAUAUUCGUCGGGUUUCUAUUUUUGAUAUCCAUAUCCGAAUCCAUAUCCAUUUAGUAUCGGAUAUAUUCGUUUCAUUCGGGUUCGGGUUCGGAUUCGGAUAAAAUUUCGGAUAUUCAUAUCCAUCCACAUCCCUACCUCUAUAUAUAUAUUUAUAUAUUAUAUAUUAUUAUAUCCAAACCAACCACUCUCACACUGACCAGAGGUCACUCAAACAUAGAAACAAAUAAAAAAGAGUAAAGAAAGGGGAAAAAGAAACUAUGGCUAAAUCCUCCAACAAUGUCUUCUUCUUCCUCCUCCUCCUCCUCCACAUCCUGGUCCUUGCACUCUGCUGCUGCUUCUCCUCCGCGGCGGGCGCGUCCUCUCAGUACUCCACGGAUUUCAUCCGGGCGUCGUGCGCGGCGACCCGGUACCCGUCGCUCUGCGUGCGGUCGCUGGCCUGCUACGCCGCCGCCGUCCGCCGCAGCCCGCGGGAGCUCGCCCGCUUCGCGCUCGCCGUCAGCGCCGACCGGGCCCGCUCCGCCGCCGCCCGCGUCGCCGGUCUCCCCGCCGUCCCGCCCCGCUCCCGCUCCGGCCCCGUCCGCGACUGCCUCGAGAACAUGGCCGACAGCGUCGACCGCCUCCGCGACGCCGCCGCCGAGCUGGCCCGCACCGGCCGCUCCGGCUCCCCCGCCUUCGCCUGGCACAUGAGCAACGUCCGCACCUGGUGCAGCGCCGCCCUCACCGACGAGACCACCUGCCUCGACGGCGUCGCCCAGGCCACCGGCGGCAAGGCCAAGCUCGACCCCGCCGCGCGCGCCGCCGUCCGCCGCGAGGUGCUCGCCGUCGCCCAGGUCACCAGCAACGCCCUCGCCCUCCUCAACCGCGUCGCCCCGCAACAGUAACUAUUAAAACCAUGCAUGCAUCAACGUACCCACCCCUUCGCUUCGGUUCUCGUUUUAACUCUUGUAAACUCUGCUUCUCACUGAGGCCUCGUUGUAGAGCUCUCUUUCUCUCUCUCUCUCUCUACUAAAUUAAGUUUUAUGCUAAGUUUUUUUUUAUUAGUGCAUGGUUUAAUUAAUCUCAUAUAUAUAUAUAUAUAUAUAUAUGUUUAUUAAAGUUCAUCUUAAUUGCUCAGUUUGAUUAAUUUGUUCUUAAUUAUUUUGACGCACGUAUGUAGUUGGUAUGUGUUAAAUAUAUUUAUAAUAGGAGAUAUAGAGGGAAAAGGGCGCAGGGAGAUGAGAUUGUGUUUGUAUGUUUACUUUGUGUAUGUAACUUCAGCUAUAAUAUUCUAAUAAUAAUUAGUGCUCCAUACUAAUUUCUCUUUUCACCAAUAAUUGUUUUUUGAAAAAAAAAAAAAACUUGAAAUUUUUUUUUUUUUUUUAAACAAAAGGUCCUGUGCUUGAUGUUGGAAUGGGAAAUAUAAUUACUAGGCUCCAAAGCCGAAGGUAUAAUUUCAUGCUUCUAAUUUUAUUGCCCCCCAAAAAAAAAAAUUCAGUCGAACCAAUUUUCCUAUUAUGUUAUAUAAUAGAGUUAUUAUACUUUCAAAAGCAUAAAGUAUUCGAUACUUUCGACUUUUUAGUUCUUAGAUUAAUUGUUUUAAUUAUCUUUAAUCUUUAAAUUAAUAUUAUUAUUUUAUAAAAAUCACUCAAUCCUAAAAAGAAUUAUCACUUUCAUCUCGACCAUAAAAUUUCUAAUCCAGGGGCUAAAAGGUCGAAAGCUUCAAGUUCUUUAUAUUUUUAAAAAUAUAAUAGCUCUGCAUUAUAUACAGAUUAAGCUUUUUGCAUGAUCUUUGACAAUUGAAACACUUUAAAAUUUUUCAAAAAAUAAAUAAAAAAUUAAAAUGAGAUUAUGAACCUACAAUGUACGUCGGGUAUACAGGAGAAUGAGGAGAUUUUUAAUAAUAAAUUUAUUUAUUUAUUUAUUUGUGUUUUUAUUUUAAUUUUUUUUUAUUUUUGAGAUAAAUUAAGAAGCUAGCUGUUGUACAAAUAAUAAUAGUAAAUUUCUUUAUAGAUUCUCUACAAAAUAAAAUAAUAGAAACUUUUGCUCUUCAUUGAUGGUGUGCGUGGGGCCAAAUGCAGGACCUCUCCGGGCGUGGCGUGGCGUGGCAUGAUAUUAUUAUUAAUAGUAUUAUUAUUGUGCACAUGAAGUGGCGCCCACAUUAUUAAUUAUUAUCAACGUACCGCAUUAAAAGAAUCAAUAGCUACUGUUUAUGCAUGUGAGGAUCCAUCCAAUUAUGAGUGCACUACCCUCAAUGCUGAAAAAUAAUAAAUUAUAAGGAACAAAAAAAAAAAAAAUAUCUGUGUGAUUUCAUUGAUCAAAUCACUUUAUUUUUAGGAUUAAUUACAUACAGAUUCCCGCAAAUAUGAUAAAUUAUAGAUAUAUUUUUGAAAAGUUCAAUUUUGAUAAGUUAUUCCUACAAAAGUCCUAAUGUAUUCAAAUAUGUUCCUGCUGUUACGAUCCGUUAAAAAAAUUUAGUUAACCACAGUUAAAAUACUUAACCAUAAUUAAUUAAUAAGAUAAAUUGACAAUUUUAUCCUCAUCCUUCUUCUUCUUCUUCUUCUCUCUCUUCAUCUUCAUCUUUUUCUUCUUCCUCUUCCUCUUCUUCUUCCUCUUAUUCUUCUUCUUCUUCUUCUUCUUCUUCCUUGUAUCCUCCUUUUCUCCUCCUUCCUUUUCCUUUUCCUCCUCUUUCUUCCAAUCGGCCGCACCUUCGCCCUCCGCCUCGUCGCUGUGGGCCUUAGUCUCAUCAUCGUCGGCGGCAACUCGAACAAGCUUCGCGACGUCGCCACCGCCACCGUCACCCGUUCGAGCAGCCCGAAAAGGAAGAGAAAGAGAAAAAGAGACAUUUGUGAGGGCAUUUUUGUAAACAUAUACUAGCUGGAGCUUUUGGAGGGGCAUAUUUGUGAGGGCAAAAAUAUCAUUUUAUGAACCUAAUGUUAAAAAGUAAACAGUUCUCUAACGGGUGCUAACCAGAGAGACAUAUCUGAAUACAUUAGUAGGACUUUUGUAGGAAUAACUUAUAAAGUUAAAAUUUGUAGGGAUAUAUCUACAAUUUACCAUGUUUGCUGGGACCUGAUUGCAAUUAACCUUUUUUUUAUGAAUAAACUUCAAAAAUCACCUAUGUAGUUUUGCACUUUUUUCACUUGAGUAUUUUGUGGUUUAAAGUGUAUCAAGUUAGUUUCCUGUGAAUUCAUUUUUAUCCUUUCGUCAGUUUUUUCGUUAAUAUUUCGUUAAGUUUAUAUACAAAAAACUUCAGAUAUUCCACUUAGUGUGAUCGAAUAUUCACUUUUAUACCUUUUAGUUUUAAUUUUGUCAUUGAUUUAACGAAAAAAAUUAGUGGAAUCGAUAAUAUAUAAACAGAUAAAAAUAAAAUUACAAGACACUAAAUUGAUACACUUUAAACCACAGGGUAUUAAAGUGAGAAAGUGUGAAACCACAGAUUUAGUAUUUGAAGUUUUCUCUAUUUUUAAUUUCUGUUUUCUAUCAAAACAGAUAGAUGGAUACACCGUAACUAGUGCAAUUAGCUAAAAAUUUGAUGGUUCGUACUCAAAUUUUGAAGUUUGAAGCAAUAUUAGUAUAUAUGUAUCUUUCACUUUUUUAAAAUGCUUAGUCUCUUUCGUUUCCGUUAGUGUAUAUGUAUAGUAUAGUUUAACUGAUCUCCACCAUGCAUUUUAGCAGGAGUUUUAAAAGUUUUUUUAUACUUAUUUAUCCUAAAUUAUAUAAAAUUUUUCUAUAAAUAUUCACUUUUUAACUUUUUCUUUCUGCUUUUUAAAAUCCUAUAUUUUACCCUCUUAAAAUUUUAAAAAUAUUUUCAGAAGAGUAUUGUGUUAAUGAGAGAGCAAAAUGGGCAAAUUAUCCUUACUUCUUCAAUUAAAAAAAAAUAAAUUUUUAAUAGAUUUUUAUCAUUUGUAAGAGUAUUUUCGACAUAAAUUAUAAAAAUUUGACGGAAUGGUAAUGAAAUCCUGACGAAUGGGACUAAAUACAACAAUUUAACAGAUUGAAUAGGUAAAAUACAGAUUUUUGAAAAUUAAAGAGGAAAAGUUAAAAAAGAUAUUUUAUAAGAGGAUUUUUUAUAAUUUAGUUUUUUUUUUUUCAAAUCGAUUUUGUGGAUAAUCACAAAAUUACUACAGCAACAGUAGUAUAAAAAAUAGGGCUGGGUUCUUUUGGAGUUUCAAAAGAAUAAAAUGAAAAAAAAUUUAAAUAUAAAAAAAAUUUCUAUAAAUAUUUUUUUUUUCUUAUUUUUAAAAAUUUAUAAUUUAUUUUUUCAAAAUUUCAAGUUGAUGUUUUUAGCUUCCUUCAAUUAUUUCAAGAAACCUCUUUAUAGAAACUUGAAGUUACCUAUAGAGUUCUCUUUUUCUUGGGUUAUAAAGAAAAAUAGUGUGUGGUUUGUGACAAUGCAAGUGUAAAAGGGACAUGUAAUGUAGCAUACUAUAAUUUAUUUUUUAUACAUAUAUAAUUCCAGCUAUUUAAGAAAUUUUUAAUGAAAUUUUUAAUGAACGAAAUUUCGCAUCCACAAUCAAUUCCGUUGAAUUCGAACUAGAGCACUCGAAAUGCUUAGAAAUAUAAUUUUAUAACUUAGAAAAAUUAUUGCCAUGCCUAUAAAAGAACCAAAAAAUGAAGGAUUGAAAAUGAAUAAAUUAGUGAAAAUAGAGAUUAGGCCUUCUCAAUUGAGCUUCAAAUUUAUCAAACAUUAUUUAGACGAUACAAAGAAUUUUCUAUUAAAAUAUUAAAUGGUUUGGAUUAUUUUACAACGUUAGAUAAGCAGACGUCUUAUAUAGGCUGUACAACACUGUAAAUUUUACGAUAUUCUGAUCAGUAACUAAUUUUUUAAAAAAUUAUAAAAUUUUGUUUCUAAACACUCCGAAUAAUAAUUAUCGAUCAAUUUUAACGAUGCUGAUCGUCGAUCCAAAAUCAAUCACCAAAAACUACUCGAUAGGACGAAGUUCCCACUCCUCUUGAGAUAGUAGCCAAUUCCUUUACAUACUUUAAAACUAUAAAAUAGUAAACAACGAAAACUCUACGCUAAAUUACACUUUUGAUCAUGAAAUUAGGAGGUAUGUUUAAUUUUUUGAAUUUCUUCAAUCAAAAUUUUUGAAUUGCUAUAAUCAAAUUUCACAAUCCAAUUUAUUUGCUAAAUUAUUAAUGUAUUACUAAUAUUAUAGCAGUUUAAUUCCCUUAUCCCCGGAGACGGAGCCGUCACAGACAAUUGGAUUAGGGUUAGACCGGGACUCCCGUAUGUUACAUAUUUAUAUAUAAGUUGAUACUAGGAUGUUAAAUCACGUCUGUCUAUCAAGAAUGUGUCCAGAUACAUCAUAACCGUAAGAUCUAAAGUAUCUUUAUAGAUCGACUUAAAUAGAUAGACUGUAUCUGUUACAUCUGCCAUGUAGGAGAGGAGUUAGGGUUAGGCAUAGGAUCAGAGUAAUUAGGGAAAGAAUAAAAAGAGAAAAGAUGAAGAGAUAAUGGGAGCUUAGCUUUUCCUUGUAGGGAGCCGGGGAGCAUGAACAGGUCAGCCAUGAUGAUCGAGGUGGAGCAGGGAGUCCAUGGGGGAAGUGGCGACAGCAGGAAGGGAUAGGUGAUGGGGUAGAAACUGGGAGCAGGGCGGACUUCGGAUCGGAGCUAGAGGAGGAUGGAGCGGAUAAAAAGGCGAACCCAAUACCCGGCGGAUUGUGGAGAUUGGGAGGAGAAGGACCCGGAACCCGCUUACCCGGCAACAGGCGGCCAUUGGGCCUAGUCAUUCCGUUUGCAGGCCCAUGUUCCAUCGAUUCGACCCACGAGGAGUCUCAGCAGCCCGAUUCAUAAUUCAAUUCUCAUUUAGCAUUGUUUAGUUUUAUUAAUCGCAUUUUAGUCCAUUGUAUAGGGAAUAAAGAGGCAGAUUGUAACCUAAUUAGGUUUUAUGGAAAAAUUGUUAAGUCUUUGCUCUUCUCAUCAUCUUCUUCCUCCUUCUUCCUCGCCUCCAAAUCUUCGACUAUCCGUCUCUCUUUCUCUCCCUCUUUCACUCUUUUCCUUCUUCGCUUAACCCCUUCUCGUUCUUUCAUCACUGAUCUAAUCGCAAGUAUUUGGACGAGUAGUUGUCGAGAUACCAGUUGAUUGGUCAUCAUUCUCUACGCCAUCCUCGUCUCAGCGAAUUAUCAUCAUCGACCGGUUGCGUAGAGUCAGGUACGUAACAAUUGGUAUCAGAGCGGUCCGACCCCAGGGCCCUGUGUGGUGAAAUCGCUUCCUAACUCCAAUCUCGGUAUUGUUGAGUUUAACUGCGAGCAAGAUUUCUGCGCUGCCGACUCUGCACUACGGCCAGAGUUGGACAAAAGAAAUCACCACAAGUAACCCUGAAGUUGCCGCAUGAUCAGAGGAAAUUCCCCACACUCCUCAGAUUAAAUUAUCCCACAGGCACGACAAGAUUGGGGGCAAGCGAGGCAACAAGUUUCGAUUUAACCCAAAGGAGUAUCUGGAAGACUUAGAUAUGGCUGAAGGGACCCGAUUAAGGGAUAUUAGUGAUCACAUCCACUCUUUAGAAGAGAAGUACCAGAAGUUGGGAACAGAGCAUCAAGUUCAUAUCGAAGCACUUACCCACCAGCUAGCCGAAGUGAGGGAUACAGGGCAAAAGCAAUUCGAGUUGCUGCAAGCUGAGGCUGCCAGGAGACAUGAGGAGCUGCUGAAGCUUAUAUCCGCCCAGCCACCUACACUCAAGACUCCAGGCGAGGCGCCCUCAUCCGAACGCAAGUACAAGCCUGGAAGUAGUAGCACACCAAUUAUGAUCAGAGAAGAGAAAGGUAAAGGCAUUCUACCCACUCCAAGCAAACCACUUGAGAUGGAGGAAGAGCACACUUCUCCGUGGGGUCAUCGAAGUUUCAAUCAUCACCAGCAUUUACCCUACCCUCGCUUAGAUUUUCCGUCAUUCGAAGGGGAAGAUCCCAGAAGUUGGAUCGAAAAUUGCGAGCAAUACUUCGAGUUAUAUCAAAUACCUCAACAUCAAUGGUUAAGUGUAGCAACGAUGCACCUGAUCGGCAAGGCAAAGACGUGGAAGCAAGGGUAUUUCGUCAAUAAACAGAUGGUUUCUUGGGACGAAUUUACCGAAGCAGUGUGUCGAAGAUUUGCUCAAGUAGGGGAAAGGUACCUGAUCCGAGAGUUCAGCAACUUGAAACACACGGGGACAUGCGAGAAAUAUCAAGAAAGGUUUGAGGAACUAAGGUACCAAUUACUUUACUACAAUCCGCAUUUAACAGAAGAAUACUUUAUUGCAUGUUAUAUUAACGGGCUCAAAGAGGAGUUGAUUCACUUCUUGGACAUCGCACAUCCGAAAACAUUGGAAAAAACUUAUGAGCAAGCACAGUUGCACGAGAAGGCCAUAGCCGCACUUAAUAGAAGAAACAAAUAUUUACCCAGAGGUUCGGGAGGCCCAUACCAAUCAUCCUCGCCCUACAGAAGCAAUAUUGGAACGGGGCUUAAUAAGGGUGGCGAAAAUUUAAGAAACCAGUACCAAACUUCACAAAGAAAUCAGGUAACUCAGAACCCGGUCAACAGGCAGUUAAUAGAACAGCGGAGAGCAGCAGGACUGUGUUUCAGGUACAGAGAAAAGUAUCACCCAGGACACGUAUGCAACAGUAAGUCCUUAAACACUUUACAAGCUUCCGAGGAAAUUGUUGAAGUUUAUGAUGAGGAUUGUUUACAUGAAGAAACGGGUGAAGGAGGAGUUGUAGACGGAGAAGAGCAGGGAUCAGGGGCUAUACCUGAUAGUGAAGAAGCGCAAGAAAUCGGUGUUUCAGUCCAUGUGCUUAGUGGGGAGAAGCCUCAAGACACCAUUAAGAUACGGGGCGAAGCCAAGAACAGAACGCUCACCCUUCUAAUCGAUACUGGGAGCACGCAUAGUUUUAUCGAUUUACGGGUAGCCAAGGAAAUUGGAGCAAGGAUGGAAGCAGCCCCGCCUUUGGUGGUCACCAUAGCUGAUGGACACAAGAUGUUAAGCAAACUUAAGUGCCCUGAAUUUUCAUGGACUAUGCAGGGGCAAAGGUUUGUAACGGAGUUACGAGUAAUCCGAAUCGAGGGUGUCAGCAUUGUGUUGGGCAUUGACUGGCUUAAGUCUUAUGGGAAGGUGACCUUCGAUUUCUUGCUAAAUUCGGUUACCAUCGUAAAGGACGGGCAGAAAUUGGAGUUAAAGGGGAUUGAGGAAGGAGCUAAAUUGAAAAUGAUCACGGCAGCCCAGUGGAAUCAGGAGAUGUGUACGGGGGAGUGCUAUCUGUUGAGCCACCAAUUGAUGCCCGACAAAACCGAGGCAACAGCAAACGUCCACCCCUGGAUUCAGCAGGUUCUGGAGCAAUAUAAGGAUGUUUUCGAGGAGCCGAAAGGGAUGCCACCAGCCCGCGUUGAGGACCACAAAAUUCUGCUACAACCCAACACGGCUCCCAUUAACGUAAGGCCGUAUAGGUACUCAUAUGAGCAAAAAGAAGAGAUUGAGAAACAAAUAAGGGAACUAUUGAAUAACUCAAUAAUACAGAGGAGUAACAGCCCAUUCGCUUCACCGGCCUUGUUGGUUAAGAAAAAGGACGGAAGUUGGAGGAUGUGUAUUGAUUACCGUCAACUUAACAAAUCUACCAUAAAGGAUAAAUUUCCCAUACCUAUCAUCGAUGAUUUAUUAGACGAGCUGGGAGGUUCGAAACACUUCUCCAAAAUAGAUCUUCGAUCCGGCUAUCAUCAAAUCAGGAUGGACCCCGCCGAUGUUCCAAAGACAGCAUUCCGAACUCAUCAAGGGCAUUAUGAGUUUCGGGUUAUGCCCUUUGGCCUCACCAACGCACCUGCCACUUUCCAGGCGAUUAUGAAUUGCACGUUCGAACCCUAUCUAAGGAAGUUCAUUUUGGUGUUCUUUGAUGAUAUAUUGGUCUAUAGUAAAAGUCUGGAGGAUCAUGUGAAACACUUGCGGAUUACAUUGGAAGAGUUGCGGAGAAAUCAAUUAUAUGCUAAACGGAGCAAGUGUUACUUUGGGCAAGACCAGGUGGAAUAUUUAGGCCACAUAAUUUCAGCAGAGGGCGUAGCUACAGAUCCGACCAAAAUUGAAGCUAUGAUCAAUUGGCCAACACCUAAGUCGGUUAAAGAGCUUCGGGGAUUUUUAGGACUAACAGGAUACUACCGAAAGUUCAUUCAAGGAUAUGGAAAGAUUAGUAAGCCCUUAACCGACUUAUUAAGAAAGGAUCAGUUUUGUUGGAGCGAGGAAUCCCAAUUAGCCUUCGAAGAGUUGAAAACUGCUAUGACUACCGCCCCGGUAUUAGCGAUGCCCAAUUUUGAUCGAUCUUUUACUUUAGAAGUUGAUGCGUGUGACACAGGGAUAGGGGCAGUAUUGUCUCAAGACGAGAAACCCAUUGCUUAUCUGAGCAAGGCAAUUGGAGGAAAACACUUGGGAUUAUCGACAUAUGAAAAAGAGUUCCUAGCUAUACUCAUGGCCUUGCAAAAGUGGAAGCACUAUUUGAGCAUGAGGACCUUUGUGAUUAGGACGGAUCACGAAAGUCUAAAAUACCUAUUAGAACAGAGGGUGACAACUCCGAUGCAACAAAAGGGAAUGAUGAAGUUAAUGGGAUUUGAUUACACCAUCCAGUACAGGAAGGGGAAGGAAAAUGCGGCGGCCGAUGCCUUGUCAAGAGUGACAGGGGAAAAGGGCGUUACUUUAGCUAUAACAGCGGCGAUACCGAGCUGGGUGCAGGAAGUGACUGAGAGUUAUUUGGGAGAUCCCCAGUGCGAGAAGUUGAUCUGUGAGCUUCCUUUACAGUCAACUAAUCAAGGGGAUUAUUCGUACCACAAUGAAUUGCUGAGGCAUAAAGGUAAGCUGUACAUUGGGAAAUCAGGGCACCUGAGGGAGAAGGUUAUCGAUCAAAUGCACAAUUCCGCAUUGGGAGGCCAUUCAGGUAUCCAGAAUACUUACCGCAGAAUUAAACAACAUUUUUAUUGGCCGGGAUUAAAGAAGGAAGUAGAAGAAUGGGUAAAAGGAUGUGCAACAUGCGCUCAGAACAAGGUGGAUGGAACUCCACAUGCGGGCUUACUGCAGCCUCUACCUAUACCACACCAAGUUUGGGAGGAGGUAAGUAUGGAUUUCAUAGAGGCCCUACCCAAAUCAGAAGGGAAGGAUGCGAUUAUGGUUGUGGUAGAUAGACUUACGAAGUACGCCCAUUUUGUGUCUUUAAAGCACCCUUUUUCAGCACCAGUAGUGGCAAGAACUUUCAUGGACACCAUUUAUAAAUUGCACGGAUGUCCGAAGAGGAUAGUCUCAGAUAGGGACAAAAUAUUCACAAGCCAGUUUUGGAAGGAGCUUUUUCAGUCCAUGGGAACUAAAUUGCAAAUGAGCUCGGCUUAUCAUCCGGAGACUGACGGCCAAACGGAACGAGUGAAUCGAUGUUUGGAAACUUAUCUAAGAUGCCUUUGCUUCCAACAUCCAAAAAAAUGGCAUUCCUGGUUAGCUUUGGCAGAAUGGUGGUACAACACGAGUUUCCACUCCUCGAUAGGUAUGACCCCAUAUGAAGCGCUAUACGGGUACCCUCCCCCCAACUAUUUGGUGACCUCAAUUACCUCUAGCACAUCUCCGGAAUUUAGAGAAUGGGCUAAGGAAAGGGAAGGCUUAACUCAUGAGCUAAGGGAUCGGCUACAAGUAGCACGUAGUAGGAUGAAACAACAGGUCGACCGACAUCGAAAAGAGAAAGAGUAUGCCAUAGGAGAUUGGGUAUACCUCAAAUUACAACCCUAUAGACAAACCACUGUGGCUAUAAGGAGGAACCUGAAGCUAGCUGCGAGGUAUUACGGACCUUUCCAAAUUAUGGAGCGCAUCGGUCCAGUAGCAUACAAGUUGCAACUACCCGAGGGGUCAAGGGUGCACCCAGUGUUUCAUGUGUCUCUGUUAAAGAAAAGUUCCCCAGCAGCUGUGCCGGCUUCACCGAACGUGCCGACCUUAAGAGAAGACGAUGAGUUACUGACGGAGCCUGAGAAGAUCCUGGAGAGGAGGAUGGUACAAAGGGGUAAUAAGGCUGUGACCGAAGUGUUGGUGAAAUGGGUGAACCUUUCUGACGAGCACGCUACAUGGGAAGAUUACGGGAUUCUCAAGAGUCAGUUCCCUUCUUUCGAUCCUUGAGGACAAGGAUCAGAUUAAGGGAGGGGGAGUGUUACAUCUGCCAUGUAGGAGAGGAGUUAGGGUUAGGCAUAGGAUCAGAGUAAUUAGGGAAAGAAUAAAAUGAGAAGAGAUGAAGAGAUAAUGGGAGCUUAGCUUUUCCUUGUAGGGAGCCGAGGAGCAUGAACAGGUCAGCCAUGAUGAUCGAGAUGGAGCAGGGAGUCCAUGGGGGAAGUGGCGACAGCAGGAAGGGAUAGGUGAUGGGGUAGAAACUGGGAGCAGGGCGGACUUCGGAUCGGAGCUAGAGGAGGAUGGAGCGGAUAAAAAGGCGAACCCAAUACCCGGCGGAUUGUGGAGAUUGGGAGGAGAAGGACCCGGAACCCGCUUACCCGGCAACAGGCGGCCAUUGGGCCUAGUCGUUCCGUUUGCAGGCCCAUGUUCCAUCGAUUCGACCCACGAGGAGUCUCAGCAGCCCGAUUCAUAAUUCAAUUCUCAUUUAGCAUUGUUUAGUUUUAUUAAUCGCAUUUUAGUCCAUUGUAUAGGGAAUAAAGAGGCAGAUUGUAACCUAAUUAGGUUUUAUGGAAAAAUUGUUAAGUCUUUGCUCUUCUCAUCAUCUUCUUCCUCCUUCUUCCUCGCCUCCAAAUCUUCGACUAUCCGUCUCUCUUUCUCUCCCUCUUUCACUCUUUUCCUUCUUCGCUUAACCCCUUCUCGUUCUUUCAUCACUGAUCUAAUCGCAAGUAUUUGGACAAGUAGUUGUCGAGAUACCAGUUGAUUGGUCAUCAUCCUCUACGCCAUCCUCGUCUCAGCGAAUUAUCAUCAUCGACCGGUUGCGUAGAGUCAGGUACGUAACAGUAUCUUUAUGGAUCGCCUUAAAUAUAUCACGUGGGCCACAUCCAAUACAAAAAACUUCAGAUACUCUACCUAGAUUUAUCGAAUAUUCAUUUUAGUACCCUUUACUUUUAACUUUGUCUCUAAUUUAACGAAAAAAAUUAGUGGAAUCGAUAAUAAAAAGAUAAAAAUGAAACCACAGGACACUGAAUUGAUAUACUUUAAACCACAAGUCACUAAAGUAAAAAAGUGUGAAAUCACAGAGGUGGUAUUUGAAGUUUGCCCUUUUAUUUAAUUAUGAACCCCAAAUCAUUUAAGGUCAGAUUCGGCCGAGCUAUAUCCGAUCCAUUUUGGCAUAACUUGAAUAGUUUUAUGUAAUUUAUUGUCCUACAUAUAUGUGUAUUUGAUGACACAAAAAUAAGAGUCCAACUACUAUACUAUCGAUAGUACAGAGAUCUCUGUGCUACCAAGUUGUUUUUAAUAAUACAAUUUUCGAUUCGAUGUUUUGUUAGAGUUAAUCUACACUAUUGAAAGUAUUUGAAAAUCAAAUUUAUUGAAACUAUGAGGCUUUUGACACUUUGAUCCUUAAACUUUUUUUUGGCUCGAACUUUUAGAAUUUUUACAAUCAACUCUUAUAACCUAAUUAAUUUGGUUGAUUAAAUAUUGAUACAUUGCUAAUAUAGAGGUGAUGUAGUGGUAUGUGAUUGAUAAUGCAUAAAUAAUUAAAAUGUCACAUCACUUUUACAUCAAUAAGAUAGUAAAACUUAGUCAACUAAAUUAAAUUGUGAAUUUGUGAUACUUGAUUGCAAUAUUUCUAAAAGUUUGAGUCAAAAAUUAAAAUAAUAAUUAAAGUUUGAGAACUAAAGUUUUACUUGUCUCAUAGUUUGAGAAUCAAACAUGCAAUUUACUUGAAUCAAAAGAAAAUAUAUACAUGUACACCCAACAAGAUACGUAGAUCUUAUAUUCUCCAUCUUAAAAUUCAUAAAAUUUUUAAAUAAAUUUUAGUUUAAAACUGAUAAAUAAAAAAAAUAAUGACCUUUCGAUGAAUUGAAUGUAAAAUAUACUUGUGCAUUGCUCCAAUCAAAAUGAGUUAUAGUUCAAACAGGUUUUAUGUAUUUUUGCCAUUAGUAGGAGCUUUUUUUCACAUUUAGCCCUCUCAAUUUUUUUUUUAUAAAUGACUUUAAUAAAUUUAUAUUUACAUAUAUAGUCCUCUUCUUGUCACGCGCACGCCACGUUGAUAUUUUUAAGUUGAACAAGUUAAUUGAAUCAACGUAUUUAAACACAGUGUUCAUAUCCACACUCUAUUUUUUUUUUAACGUAAGGACAAUAAAAGAUAAAAAAAAAAAUGGUAAUUCCAUUAUCUUGUUUAAACACAGUGAUUGUUAAUAAAAAUUUAUUAGGAUUAUUUUUUUUUUGAGAGAGAGAUAGGUAGCACGCUGUUUAUUUUAUUUAUAAAUAAACUUUAGUUGAAAAUAUGAAUCAGGUAGGAUUUGAAUUAUUAAGAUUAUUUUUUAAGAAAAUUUUUUUAAGGGGCUAAACAAAAAGGAGAGACCCUAAUAAAAGAAGUCUUUUGAGGUGCCCAUGUGAUAUUGUCAGAUUCUUUAUCCAAUAUCCACCUAAGACCAAAACCAUUCACAUGGCUGACAGUUAUUGUUCCUCCCCUUCAUUCUUACCCUCAGUCCUUUCUGCACUCCCUGAACCCUAACUCUAAACCCUAUCAACUUUUCUUACAAAAACCUAAAAACUGUAUGAAAAAGCCCCUCAGUGGUAGGUCUGUCUGAAAUAGACCACUCAAUUUUACUUUUUGAUUUACACUCUUUUCACUUUUAUUUUUUUUUGUUUGAGUUUUUCUAAUUAAUUAAUUUAAAAGUUUUGUUAAAUUUUUAUGGCUCAUUAGUAGCUAACUAGUCUAAUUUUAUUCACUAUAAAUUUAAUGGACUUGCAAAUUAAUUUAGUAAAAUUUCUAAUUUAUUUAACAACUUUUUUUUAAUUCUAUUAAAAUAUAUGAAGCUUAUAUUUAAAAGUUCUAUUAUUAAAUCGAUCGUUAACGCAAGUCAUAAAAAACUAAAUAGUUGGUAUCCAAAAUCUCAAGUUUCAUAGUCUAAUUAUUUCACAUUUCCAGCUAAGUUUAUUUAUAAAAUAAACGAAGUGGGUAGCAUACUUUUCUCUCUCAAAAAAAAAAAAAAAUCAAUCAUUGAAAACAACUAACAAAUACAGAAGUUAAAAACGUACCUACUUACAAGGGGGUGUCAACGAGCCAAACACGUGUGAGCUAGGUUCGGCUCGUAACACAAAUUGACUCACCAACAGCAAGUUAAAAGGAUUAGAAAAGAUAUAUACUAAAUUUUGAUCUAAUUCUUGAAACAUUACACGUACAUGAGCAUUUUUAUAAUUGAGUCGGACUUUUAUAUUUAUGUUGGACUAAAAAUUAAAUAAUAAAAAUUUAUAUUACAUAUAAUUAUUCACUUAUAAAUUAUAUAAAUAUAAAAUAUAUGUAUUUGAGCAGUUAUCGAGCCAAACACGAGCGAGUUGACUCCCAGCUCGUGCUCGGAUCGUUUAUUUAAACGAGCUGAAAAAUUCAGUUCGUGUUCAGCUUUUUGCUAAACGAGUAACUCGAUCUUGAGCUCAUUUCGGACCGAACACGAGCUGUCUCACGAACAACGAGCUGGAUUGCUACCCGUAAUUACGGGAGUAUACAUAUGAAUUACUUUAAGAGUCAGAAAGAAAUGCAUGACAAAUAAAUUUACAAAUUAAAAUAUUUAAAUUGAAAAUGUAAUGUCCCAGCUUUGCACAGAGAAGUAAUGCAGGGACUAUGCUACAUAAAACAAGGCAGAUAUUAUGGGAGUAGUUAUGUUGGGUCAGAAUUUCAACCACUCAGUCCAAGAGUCAUUUUAGGUGAUGAGACCAAACUUAAUUUGACCAUUAUUUUUAUGGAUUUUUUUUUUUUUUUAAUAAAUUAAGGAAUGUGUUUGGGAUUGGAGUGAGGGAUACGAAGUAGGGAUCUGCCGGCCGUUGACUGGAGGAAUUAACGCGGACGGCAGGAAGCGCNUCUCUCUCUCUCUCUCUCUCUCAAGACCUCCAUACUUUUUUUUUAAAACUAAAAUACAAAAAAAAAAUAUAAAUACCUGCUAUUUUACCUUUUUCUUCUAACUUUUAAUAAUCUAUAAUUUACUUUUAUAAAAUUUAAAAAAUAUUUUUAAAGAAUUACGGUAUUAAACGAGAGGGCAAAAUAACCAAAUUGUAUUUACUUAUUCUUGAAGAAAAAAUAAUUUUUAAUAUAUUUAUGUUAUUUCUAAGAGCGUUUUCGGUAUGAAUUAUAUGGAAGCACACAAGCAACAUUAAAAUAAAAAUAAAAUAAAAAGUGGCAAUUGCUUAUAUACUCCUGAAAAGUUUUUGCUUUUUUUAUUUACCCCUCUUAGAAGGCUAAUAUUGAAAAUACCUUUCUUAUAUUUCAAGUCUUUCUAAUAUACCCCUGGAGUUAAGUUUCGUUAGUGAGCUACCGUUAUCUCUGAAAAAUUACCAUUUUGCUCAUUCCAAUGUACCCUUGUACCGUAACUAACUUUUCUUAUAUACCCUUCAUAUAGUAAAUACUUUUCUUAUUUGCCCUUCAAAUAUCAAUUAAUUAAUUAAGCACGUCGGAAGCGAGCAGAUAAACGGAUGAGAUCGAUCGCAGUUUAACCAACCUUGGCCGCUCAUAGUUAGUUAAUUUGGAUUCGGCAAAAAUUCGAUACGGAUAUAAUUCGGAUAAAAUUCGGCUUUAAAUUUAAAUUCGUUGAAAAAUAGACUAAAAAACGGAUCUGGCAUUAUUCGGAUACGUGAUUUAUACGGGUAAUAUACGUUCACAAUUAAAAAUUUGAGAUCAAAUAUAAUUUUAUUAUAUAAUAUAAUUUUUAAAAUUCGGUAUUAUACUAUAUAUAUUAUUAUUAUAAUAUUUAUAUAUAGAUUAAAUAUAUUUAAAAUUAAUAAAAUAUACUAAUAAUAUAUAAGAGUUAUAUAUUUAAAAAUAUUAAUAAAUAUUACAAAUUAUAAGUAAAAUAUUAUAAUAAUAUUUCUAUAUAAAAAUAAAACUAUGUGAAUAAAUAUUAUAAUUAAUUUAUAUAUAUAUAUAUAUAUAUAAUAUAUAUAUAUAUAUAUUAUAUAUAUAAUAUAUAUAUAUUAUAUAUAUAUAUAUAUAUAUAUAUAUAUAGAGUGAUGCUACUAUGCUAUCAGAAGCACGGAGCCUUCCGUGCUUCAGCUCGUUUCGAUGUUUGGUCUUCGAAUCGUCGAUCGCGCUCCGUUAAACUGAUCUAGAGUAUUUGAAGUACCUAGAAAUAAAUUUUAUGAUUUUACAGUAUCAUUUGCCUAGGGAACGAAGGGGCUCAAAAUUAACGGCUGAAAAUAAAAAUCUUACAAAAUAUAAUAUAUGACAUUAAAAUUUUAAAUCUAAAGAUAUUGAUCUUGUUUUAUAUAGUAUAAAGAAUUUUCUAUCAAAUUUCACGUGAUUUGGAUAUUUCUACACCGUUAAACUUGCAAACGGUCACUACGGCCAUUUGAAAUUUGUGAUUUUGAGCUCCAUUCGAUCACUAGCAAAUGAUAUCGAAAAAUAAUAAAAUUUAUUUUCUAGGUACUCAAAUACUCUAGAUCAAGUUUAACGGAAGCCGAUCGACAAUUCGAAAGCUCGAACAUCGAAAACGAGCUGGAGCACGGAAGGCUCCGUGCUUCCGAUAGCAUAGUAGCCUUACUCUAUAUAUAUAUAUAUAUAAUGAGAGGGAGGUCCAUCGUGGACCUCCCUCUCAUUUGGUCCAUGAGGCCAGUUAGUCCACGAGGCCAAACUGGCCUUGUGGACCGCGCAGGGACGCGUCGAGCUCCAUCAAUUGCGCGGCCGAGCGAGCCCAGUCGUCGGUGAGCCCGUCCGGGAUGGCUCGAAAGUGGACUUUCGGGCUCGGGCUCGAGCUCGGCCCCGGCCCCUGAAGUGAGUUCCCGCUGGAGCUGCAGAGGAGGCGGCGGUCCUCUUGCUCCCUCGGGUGAGACGGGAUCGUCACUGCGGCCUCUUGCUCCCGGCAUCGGCCAAGGCGGCAGCGGUGGAGGAAUAGGACGACAACGAGAGCGGCGGAGGAGGAGGACGACAAGAGCGACGAGAGGGGUGGUGUUGGAGGUGGAGGUGUGGGAGGUGGUGGUGUUCUGGGAGGAGAUGAGGCGAGGUGGAGGCGAAGGAGCCAACGAUCAAGUUGGGAGAGAAAGAGGAUAACUUAAGGGAUUAGCAUAAUAAGGUAGGGGUAAAAUAGAUAUUUUAUAUAGGUUUUAACUCUAGUAUAUAUUUAACCCAUGUUUAACUCGAGUUAAGCUAACAGGGGAUAACUGCGAGGGUAUUUUGGAAUAACGGUGAAACAUAUGAGGGGUAUUUUAGAAAGAAAAAAAAAAGUAGGGGCAGAUCGGAUAUUUCCAAACGCAUGAGAGAUAUAUAGACAAUUAUUCCAAAUAAAAAUGAGCGUUCCGACCUACUAAUAAUAAUAAUUUAUUGGGUCUAACUUAUUCUGACGAGGAUGUCAGCCUAAUGACACAUAUAGUCCAAAAUCAUCAGGCGAUUUGAGAUCCACCUCACACUUUUGUCUGGUGAAUCAGUUUUGAUAUCAAAUAUAAUAAUUUAACCCACCAGUAAUAAUAAUUUGUUGAAUCCAAACUACCAUCUGCACAAAAUACUUAAGUUCAAUUAUUAUUACUAAAGAUCAUGAAUUUUUAUAUUUUCAAUCACAAUUUCAUUCUUAUCCGAUGUGAGACUAUUAGGACGUUAUAAAGUAGCACUAGAAUUACAAUUAAUCCAUCGAAGAACUUAUUUUCUCUUACUUGUCAUAUUUAUUUUUUCUUUUUAAUACUAAAGUUGAUUUCAGAUUUUUUAAACCCCCAUGGAAAAGGAUUAGAAAUCCUCAGAUGAAAUUGGAUGGUAAACUUAGCACUUGUCAAACUAAAGUGAGUUAUUUUGUUUUGUGAAUUGAUAUUUUCAGUACUAAAUUUGAUAUUACAAGAGCAGAUAUAUUAUAUUUGGCCUUGAUUUAGUUUUGUUUUUUUUGUUUUUUUUUUUUUGGUUCUAGCGGUAUUAAAAUUAGCUCUAAAAAUAUCAAUUUUUUUUGUUUUUUUUUAGUCUAAUUGAUGGGUUGCAAUUAGGGGAAUAAAACAGGCCGGGCGGCCCACGUCACGACUGCGGGCUGGGCCAUGGCUCGGCACGACUACAAUAGCAUCUUCUCGGGCUGGGCCGAUCCGGCUCUAUGGGCCGUGCUGGGCCAAUCUUCUUGGGCCCGACGGCCCGGCCCGAGCUUGGCCGUACCGGGCCGAAGGGAGGCCCGUGGCCCGGCAUGACAUGAUCCGCUUGUGCCGUGCCAGCCGGGCUAGCACCCCGAACCCCAAGGCCCAAGGCUGUUGCCUUAAGCCUUGGGGUUGGAUCUCCUGGGGAGAAGGACGUUGGCCCUUCUUCCCGGGAGAUCUCCUCUAGGGAUGCAAAUGGAUCCGGGUUGGUGGAGCUCCGCCCCGAUCCGCCCCGAAUGGAAUGGUAAGUGGGAACAAAAAAUAUAAAAAAAUAUAACCCGCCCCGAAUCCGCCCCGAUCCGCCAAGUAAAUGGAGCGGGAGGUGGGAGACUCUUUUCUUCCUUCAAUCCGCCCCGAUCCGUCAAAAAUCCGGCUCCCGCCCCGAUCCGCCCCGAAUAGAGCGGUAAGUGGGAGCCAAAAAUAAAAUGAAAAGUAACCCGCCCCGAAUUUGAAACCGGGCCGGGCUGGGUUGGCCCCUAGCCCGAAUUAGCACGAAAAGUGUGGGCCGUGGGCCACAUUACACCCCUAGUUGCAAUUGGUCAUUGAAUUUCUAUAAAAAAAUAUAAAAAGCCCUCUACGCUUUAUGCAUUUCUAAAAUAAACGUGACCUCCUACUAAAGUUCUGCGUUUUUGUAACCAAGUAAAUUUAACUAAACAAAACAGGGAAUUUAUCCCUUUUUUAAUAUAAAAAUGAUAAUUAUAUCAAAUUUAAUAAUUGUAAUCACUUUGAAGUAAAUGAGACUAGAUUAAUUAAAUUUAAUAGCUUAUUAUGUUAUCAAAUUUAAUAAAAGUUUUAACUUAAAUGACUAGAAUAGUUCAAAUUAAAAAAAAACAGAAAUUAAAAGGGUGUGAAUCAAAACAUAACAAUAAUAAUAAAGUUGAGGGGUCUCCACAUAUUUUUGCUUAGAAUUUUCGAAUUAUAAAAAUCUUUGUGCGGAUUUAUUUAUGCAGGGUUAAUCUCCUGCACUAAUCAUUUUGAAGGUAAAAAUAUUCUGAGACCCCCUCAACCAAUAGAGAAUUUGGAAAUGUGCCCCUCACCUUUAUCUUUUGGGUUAAUUUCAUGCAGAUCCCUAUAUAUAUAUAUAUAUAUAGUAAAUUACAAAUAUAUUCCUACAAAGUUCAACUUUUAUAUAUUGUCUCUGUAAAACAAAAAAGUCUUAAUAUUUUCAAAUAUGUUCCUAUGAUUUGUUAUAAGUGAAGUAACCUUUUUGUCAUCGUAAAUAUGUCUCACCAAAAGUCCCAACUAUUAAUUGAAGGGGGAGUAAAAGAUUAAUUCACCUCAUUAACUAAUUAGGGUUAAGUAUUUUACCUAUGGUUAACUAAUUUUUUCUAACGAAUCCUAAUGACAAGGAUAUAUUUGAAAACAUCAGAACUUUUGUAGGGACAAUGUAUAAAAGUUGAAAUUUGUAGGAAUAUAUUUGCAAUUCAUUACGUUUGCAAGGACCUGUCGGAAAUUAACCCGUAUCUUUUUUAAAACAAAAUACAUAAAGAACCCCUAAACUGUUUAGCAAAUUAAUCACCAAAAUUUUAAUUUUAAUAAUCAGAUCUUUCGAUUUUAUCAAAUAGUUUAAUAGGUCUCUUCCCGUAGAAAAAGUUUCCAUAGAUUUUUUUUUUUUCUCAAAAAACUUUUUUAUAUUUUUCCUAGGAAACAAACAGCAUCUUAGCGGCCAAUCCAAACCAAUCUAUCGACAAACUUUGCAUACCUAGAAAAGCAUAUUUAGUUUCAAAAUAUUUAUCUUUGUGAUUCAAAACAUUUCAAUUUAUUCCGACACAUUUCCACCCAAAAAUAAGAAACUAUACAUAGGGCACACACUGGCUUAAAGUUAAAAACUAGCAACUUUAACUCCCAACUGCGUUAGUCUGUUUAUUUUUAUUGAUCUUGCAGAUUGACUGAAUUCGUGAUUUCGAAAAAGUCGUAGGCGUCGGUAUUUAUUUCGCACUGAAGCCACGAGAUUACCAAGCUCUCACUCACAAUUGCAUGAAGAUCGGCCUUCCAACUUUCGUAAGGUGGAAGGUGCGGUCGAGUUUUGCUAAAACUUAAUUUUCACACUACACUUUGAUAUCGUCUUAAACAGAUUUAAAAAAUUAGAAUGUUGUUUAAUCCACCUGUAAAACCUUACACGAAAUAAACUUAUAGGUAAAUUUAAUUAUAUCUGCAGCAUCAAAAUCAUUAAAAUCGAAGAAAACUAUUCAAUUUACUAUCAAUUUUAACUUAACAGAGUAGAAGACCUCUUUUCUUUCUAUCAACACCAAUUAGAAAGAUAUUGAGGUAAAAAUAAUGCCAUGUACCAACUUAUUUUUGUGAAGUUUUGAAUACCAAAUUUAUCAGUUAUCUGAAAAUUGAGACUCUUUUGAUAUAUUAAUAAAGUGCAGGGUGAUAAUUUGAGAAUGCAGGAGAUUAAUUGUGACAGAGAUUGAAAUGCAAAAGAUCGAGCUUUUAAGUUUUAAUAAAGGGAAAACUUCAAAUACCGCCCCGCGGUUUCGCACUUUCUCACUUUAGUACCCUGUGGUUUAAAGUGUAUCAAGUUAGUAUCCUGUAGUUUCGCACUUUCUCACUUUAGUAUCCUGUGGUUUAAUAUUUCAUUAAAUUAUAUACAAAAAACUUCAGAUACCCUACCUACAUUUAUCGAAUAUUCAUUUGAGUAUUCUUUAGUUUUAAUUUUGUCACUGAUUUAAAAAAAAAAAUAUCCCGAAAUGAAUAAUAAAAAGUGAUACUAAUUUGAUACAAUUUAAACUACAGGGUACUAAAGUGAAAAAGUGCGAAACCACAAGGGGGCAUUUGAAGUUUUCUCUUUUAAUAAUGAACAAUGUUAUCAGUGUACCUAGCUACUCUAUUGGUGUAAAUAUUGUACAUUAGCCUCCCAAAUACCCAGAUUUAUUCAUUUGUUUUAUUAAAUUGUUUUAUACUAAAAUAUUUUAAGAGAGUUUUUAAAUUUUUGUAUAAUGGAGUAUAAAAUGUUACCCUUGUAACAGAAUACACAAACAACAAUUUUAUUUUAUAAUAGAUAAGCUUCAAAUUGUCGUCCCGUGAUAUAGUUUAUUUUCACUUUAACGCCCCUACGAUUUGAAAAGGUUUCACUUUUCCUCCUACGGUGUAAGCUCAUUUUAGCUUUGCCACUCCGUGGUUUUAAAAAUUUCGCUUUCUCUUUCGGUGGUUUAGUACAUUUUUUAUUUUGUCACCAUAUGAUUUUAAUAAAAUUUUUACUUUUUGGUGAAAUAAAAAUUAAACUAUACGAGAGCAAAGUAAAACUUUUUAAACUGCGGGAUGAAAAAGUAAAAAUGAGCUGAAUCACGAGCGGGCAAUUUGUAGUUUACCUUUUCAUAAUUGAUUCCAGAUGAGCAAAUAAAUAAAUAAAUAAAAUGGCGGCACACAAAGAUAUUUGUGUCGGUUUUACCUCCAUCUAAAACAUUUCUAGAUAUUUUUUAAUACUAAAACUCUAAAGGACAAUCAACAUUAAUGAGGGUUUAUAAUAUUUGAAUAGAAAUAAAAUUGACAUGCAAUAGCAGAUGGAGAGAACUUCCAAUUGGAAAGUUCUUUUUUUUUUUCAAAAAAAUGAGAGAGAGAGAGAGAGAGAGAGAGAGAGCACAGGAUUCAUUUUCAGGGUCUGCUGGAACAUUCCAAAACCCUAAAUAAUGCAGAAAAAGACUCACUUUAGCAACACUACAACAAAAACGGUCUAUAGCGACACUUUUAAAUGUAGGUACAUGUCAAAAAAGUGCUGCUAGCUAAAAUUACCGACACUUUUAAAAAGUGUUGCUAUAUGUGGGGUCGCUAGGUAUAUAGUGACAGUUAAAGAGUGUCGCUAUAACCUAAAAGAGUGCUGCUAAUUUACCAACAACUUAUUUAAGCAUUUAGCAACCGUCGAAACUCUAUCUCGUUGGCUGCGAUGGUGGAGGAGGACGACAGGAAUGGCUCUUCGUCUAGAAUUUCAGUGGAUUGAGUGAAGAGAGAAAAAAAUAUGGUAAUUGAUUUUUCUUCUUUUUUUUUUCUUUUCUGUUUGUAAUCGAGCCAAAUGGACUGGGUGUGGUGGGUUGAGUAGAGUAAUCUUUCAUUUUUUGUUGGAUUGGGCUUUAUAUUUAGGCAUUAGUAGAUGUUUUUUUAAGUUUUAGCAUAAAUGUGACACUUACUCAAAAGUGUCCCAAACAUGUGUCCCUAUAACCUAAUUCUGUUGUAGUGCAACUAGACUCAUUUUAGAGAUUUCAACUAUAAAUUAUUUGCGUGGACCGAGAUUUGUAGACCGAAACUUUGAAUUGCCAUUUUUUUUUCCUUUAAAUUGCACUUUUGGAUCCCCAACUAUGAAAAUUCUUACAUUUUGGACCUCAAACAUCAAUUUAUUAUAAUUUCUUAUUCGAAUUUUUCAAAUUUCUGUAAUCGAGUCCUACAGUAUGAUUUAGUUGGCAAAAUGGUGAUGUACUACUAUUGAUGUGACAGUGUUAUCAUCCGCGAUUUUACUAUAUUAUUGCCACAUUAACAGCACAUUACUGUUUAAUUAACUUAACUACUCUGUGGAGUUUGAUUGCAACAAUGUACAAAGUUGAACUAAAAAAUUAUAAUAAAUUAAAUUUGAGGACGUAGGUUUCACGCUCUUUAUAGUUUUGAGGACCAACAAUGUAAUUUAGCUUCUUCUUUUUUUUUCUUACUAGAGUAUAAAUAGACAGUUAUGAUGUAAUACUUUCUAUAUUUGAAAAGUUAAUAUUUUUUAAAAAUAUUUGCCCUGAAAUUAAAAUUUGUUGAAAAAAAUUAUUAUUUACUGCAUGAAAAACAAAUAAUAGAUCAAAAUAACAUUUUAGUCGUACAGAAAUUUUUUGGUAUUAUAAGUCGCAUCUGAUAGAUUACAUAUAGAUAUUGAAUGUCAAUUCAGUGUGUUUUUGCUUUCGUUUUGAAUUACAGAUAUAGAAUAUUUCACAAAUAAAAACUUCUGAAGUUUUUAUUUUUUUGAAAAAAAACAGGAGAAAGAAACAUUUAUAUAUUCCAUUCUACUUAAUGUACAUAAUGAAUUCUUUUCUUAAACCCUAUUUGAAUGCUAGAAUAAGAUGUCUAAUAACAACUUAUUUGAUGUAUAGAUUUUUUUAUAUAAUUUAAAAUUUGAAGUGUGACCUUUAGAUCUUGAAAGAUUUCAACAUUCAUCAUUUGAUUGGGUAGUGUAUUGAACCAAUAAAAUUAUAUAUUUUAUUCUGAAAGAAUAGUUUAAAGGUCGAAUUCAGUAUUUACUCUCGAUAUUUGACCACAUUUUUCAUCUAUCACUAAAUACUAGAUAUUUACUCUAGAUAUUUGACAAAUUAAUAUGAAUGUGACAAGUGCACCUCAAAGAUGCUUAAGGACUAAAAUUUCUUGCUAUAACUUCUAUCCUUUUCUCACAUAAUGAGGGGCUUUUAGUAAUUUACUAUCCUAUUGUGAAAGAUAUUUCUUUCACUCUCAUGUGUCCCUUUAGUCAUUGGAUGCAUCUGAUGCUACAUUUUAGAAAUGCAAUGGAUAACAAACAGUGUAGCAUAGACCACAUUAUAUAUUUAUGGACUACAUUUAAAUAUUUUAAGUUUCAAUCAAUUGAUACAAUCAAAAGUUUUUGAGUUUUAAUAUGUAGGUAUUUUGAAUAUCAUUAGACAAAUUUUAAUUUUGAGUCUUUUAUAAUUAAAAUUUAGGAGUGCAAAGCAUGACUACCAUGAACGAAAUGUGAAUAGAUCUUAAUUUGAUUAAAUAGGUUAUUCAGAUGCGAUAGUUUAUUACAACUAAUAUUUAUGCUUUAUAUUAAUAUUAAAUUUUAAAAUUUUUACAUCUGUGUCUAGCACUUGAAUAUCUAUUUCACCUAUGUUUGACUCUAUUGUGUAACUUUACAUAAUGUAUAGAAAAUUCUUCAAUAAAAUCCUAAAAAGAGGACUGAUGACUUUGGAGAAUUUAACUAUUUUGCUCCAAAGAACACAUAUAUACUAAAUACUUCUAUAAAAAUUAGCACAUAUAUUUGACUCAAAUUAGGCCACUUUACAUAAUAUAUAAUAUAAUAGUUACGAAUUUAAAAAUCGCACCCGCUGCAAAGCGCGAGUUUAUUGCUAUAGUUCAUUGAAUAACUUUCACCUUAUUAGAGGGCGUUUGGAUUGACGAAUCUGUAAAUCCAACGUAAGUCAAGUGUAGUGGUGUUUGAGUUUUCAUGAAGUAUAAUUAUUUUUUUGUUUUUUGUUUUGACAUAAUUCGUAUAGUCUGAAAGUUAAAUUCAAUUACUUUUUCUGUUUGUUUUGAUAUAACUUGGUAUUGGUAAAAUUAAUUUUUUGAGUUCCAUCGUUUGUUUUGAUGUAUGUAAGUGGAUCACGUUAUCUCCUAAAUAUAAUGGUAAAUUUAUUGCUAUAAAAUUGAACCUAUUAUAUAAUUAAAUUUUUUAUUAUUAUUUAAAGGUAAUCCUAAUUUAUCAUAAAUAAGAUAAUUCUAACCUAUUAUAAGAAAGUAGAGUUUAAGUUUUACUAUUUAAUAAAUUUUUUAGAGAAGGUUGAGUGUGGCGGGAGUCGAAUUCGGCAUUUUAGCGGAGAAAGUCGAGAGUAAGUAAAGUGGAGGUCUAACGUAACUUGAGCUACAUUAUAUUUUUUAUUUACACCAAAAUAAAUAACAAAAUUGAUGGAACUUGAGUUCUAUCACUCUACUUACACCAAAACAAACGGACCGUUACUGUUUCUCUCUCUCUCUGUAACCUACUAUAUAAAAACCCUCCACUCACCUCUUAUUACAAAGAGACCAUUCACUAUACAAUCUACAAGAGAAGAGUUGAACAAAGUAAACGUUGUAGCAUUACCCUCUCCAUCCCCAUGGAAGCAACCUCCUCUUCCUUCUCCUCGAUCUUCUCCUCGUCGAGCUUCGUCGUCGACAUCUCCGAGCUCGACGACCCGUGCUCUCCCUCCUCCUCUUCUUCUUCUUCUUCCGUUGAUGCUGCUGCUGCGGCGGCGGGCAACGGAAGCGUCGACCCCUCAUCCCCUUGCCCUUCUCCUCUUGCCUUCAUGAUCAUAUGCUGCGGCAGCAGGAGCAAGAAGGCGGCGGACGGGCGCGGCUCGCCACGACACUUCCUCGACAGUUGCUUUCUCUGCAAGCGCAGUAUAUCCAUGAAUUCCGACGUAUUCAUGUACAGGUUCGUGCAUGCCAUGCUUGGUAUCCUCUUCUCUCUCUCUCUCUCGUGAUGAAAGUAUGAAACCAUAUCUAUUUUCAGAAUUGAGCUCAUAUAUUUUUAAAAGUACAAAGUCAUAGGUGCUAGUAGGUUUUCGGCCUUUGGCCGAAAAUUUGUCGGAUUAGGAUAAUAGCGGCCAUAAGGUCUAUAGUGGCCGUGAUAAGUGAAAUAGUAUAAGUUAAGGAACAUAAUUUAUCAAAAAAAUAGAUCUAACGAUGAAAAACUUGUAAGCACUUGUUUGAUAGUAUAAAUUAAAGAACAGAAUUUAUCAAAAGAAUAAAUCUAACCAUGAAAAACUUGCAAGCACUUCUUUGAUGCUUUUAGAAGCACGGUAGCCGGAUUCCUAUUUUUGCGCCUGACUCUAGAGAUAAUACCUAAUAUACUCUUCAAAACUUUAAAAAUAUCUAAGAUAAUUUUGAUUAACCAAAAUUUUCUUAUUUAUUUUCAAAAAAAAUUUCAAAUAUCCUAAAAGUUAUAGAGUUUACUAACGGGAUUUGGGGUUCGGAAGGAUGUUUUGAUAAUUUCAUGGUAAAUUGGAAAAUUUUAAAUGGUAGUACGAAAAAAUAAGAAAAAACCCCUUUACUUUAUUAUCACCCUUGUAAAAUUUGAAUUUUUUUUUUUUUAGAUAAAUCGCACAUAAUUUACUUAAAUUGUUAAUCCAUCCAACUAGCCAACAUUUCAAAGUUUUAGUUUUACUAUCUAAUCUUUAAUUUAUUUUAUAUAAGUCAGUCAAUGGCACUUCAACUUUGAAAUUUGAAUGAGCUGUUUUAUUUUUAUACAUUUACUUUGUAUAAUUCAGGCAAUUUUUGCAACUAUAAGUUAACUAAAGUAAGUAAUUAAUUUAAAUUUUAAAAUUAAAGUACCAUUAACUGGCUCAAAUAAAAUAAAUUGAAAAGUUCGAUAGCAAAAUCAAAAUUUUUAAAGAUUGGGACCAUAGUUCAAGUAAGUUUUGUAUAUUUUCUUUUUUUUAAUGAUGGUGAAAACAUAUGAGCAUUACAUAUAUUACUCUAAGAGUUUGUUUGGUUCAAGGUUCAUAAUAUUCCUAGAAUGUUGUAUGUUUUAUAUUUGAAAUGUCAAGUUUAUUAUGAACUUAUUAAGCCGGUUGGGUCAUGAGAUUGUCUAGAACUCAUACACUCUUAUUAUGGACCACUAAUGAUUGUUAUAAAGUAUAAAAAUAAGAAUUAAUACUUUUCAACCCAUAAUAACCUAGUAUUCCUACCACUCAUAAUUCUAUAAUAAUUUCACUACUUCACUAAUAACUUUACAACUACUCAUUUUGCAAUAAAAAGUAUGAAGGAAUAUCGAAAUAUUACAAAUAAUGAACCGAACAAGACCUCAUUAUUUUCUAUAAGAUCGAUAUUUUGGGUUAUGUAGUAUCUAUCGGAAUCAAUUCUAAACUUUCUCAUUCCAUGAGGUCGUGAUCAGGUCGUUAUAAGUUUGAUCCGCCAAUAUUUCUAAACCUCUUCAUUUUAUGAGGUUACGGGUUCGAUCCCUACUGCAUAUAAUUGAUCAUUUGGAUCCACAUGCAUACUCUCUAAGAAUGGCACUUCUCCAUCCACACAAGUAUAAAAAUCCCUAGUCCCUCUCUCUGCUGGGGUCCUAGUCCCUGCAAAUUAAUAUCCUGCGAUUCCUUUUCUAGAAGAUAUAUUAAGUUAUUUCCCAUUUAGAUUUAAAUUAAAUUAAGUUUAAUUUUAAUUCUAUUUGAUUUAAAUUUUAUAUAGUUAUUAAGUUUAUUUAAAAUUUUUUGUUAAAUUAUUAAGUAUGACAUAUUAAAUUACUAAACUACAUAUAAUAAUCAAGUAUUAUUUAACCAAUAUAUAUAUAUAUAUAUAUAUAUAUAUAUAUAUAUAUAUAUAUUUAUUUGCAAAGAAAAUUAAAUAUAUUAAGAAUAUUUUAUCUCAAUAAAAAUAAUAUCAUUAGUGUGCGUUUGUGUCGGGUUAUCCUGGCAAGAUUACAAACAAUCCUGUCAGAAUUAACUACUAUGUUUGAUUCAUCCGAUAUGUAAUCGGUUCGAUAAUAUAGCAUUACAAAUGGUGCAAAAUUACACCAAAAUAUUACCGAGAGGCACUACAACAAAAACGGUCUAUAGCGACACUUUUAAAUGUAGGUACAUAUCAAAAAGUACUUGCUAGUAAAAUUACCGACACUUUUAAAAUGUGUUGCUAUAUGGGGCGUCGCUAGGUAUAUAGUAACAGUUAAAGAGUGUCGCUAUAACGCUAAAAGAGUGCUGCUAAUUACCAACAACUUAUUUAAGCAUUUAGCAACCGCCGAAACUCUAUCUCGUUGGUUGGCGGUGGCGGAGGAGGACGACAGGAAGUUCUUUCGUCUAGAAUUUUUAGUGGAGUGAGUAAAGAGAGAAGAAAAAUAGAUAAUUGAUUUUUCUUUUUUUUUCUUUUCUAUUUGAUGUCGGCCAAUGGACUGGAUGUGGUGGUUGAGGUAGAGUAAUCUUUUUAUUUUUGGUUGGAUGGGCUUUAUAUUUAGCAUUAGUAGAUGUUCUCUUAAGUUUUAGCAUAAAUAGGACACUUACUCAAAGUGUCCCAAACUGUGUCCCUAUAACCUAAUUCUGUUGUAGUGAGGAAGAGGUGUGUAUCUUGGAUUACUCGAAAUCAAGUAAUAUUGCAUAGUUAUGUAAAAUGAUAAUUCUACCCUUUAACUUCCGUAACCCUUUCAAUACGUUAUUUUAAAAAAUUAAAUUUAAAAUUUUGAAUUGUCAACUUUUAAAUUUUAUAUUUUGAAUUUUAAUUUUUAAUUUUCAAAUUUAAAUUUUUAAUUUUUAAUUUUAAAUUUUUAAACUUCAAAUUAUAAAUUUAAAUUUAAAUUUUAAAUUUAAAUUUAAAUUUAAAUUUUAGAUUUUAAAUAUAAAUUUCAAUUAUAAAUUCAAAUUUCAAAUUUCAAAUUUCAAAUUUUUUAGAUUUUAAUUUUAAAUUUCAAAUUUUAAAUUUAAAUUUCAAAUUUCAAAGUUCAAAUUUCAAAUUUUAAAAUACAAAUUUGUAUUUUAAAUUAAGAUUCUAAUUUUUAAUUAAUAUAUAUUAUAUUUAAUUUUAGAUUUUAAAUUUAUAAAUUUAUAUUUUAUUUUAAAUUAUUUAUUAAAUUUAUAUUAUUUGUUCAAAUUAAAAAUUAAAAUUAAAAAUUAAAGAGUAAAUCAUUUAAAUAAAAUUGAUAAAAAAAUAUUAUUUGUAAACAGUAAAAAAAAAAAGUUUACAAAAUAUGAUUAAGGGCAAUUUAUGGAAAUGACUAUAAUUUAUUGUCUAGAUUACUAAAUUUAUAUACAGAACUAAACAUAGUAAUACUAUAAACACUGUAAUCUAGCCAUUACAUUACGGUAUAAACUAAACGCACUAAUACAUAUACAGUAUAUCUAAUUUAGUGUCACGCCCCGUAUUGCACGUUCCCCGGGCACGCCGACAAAUCCGCCAUAUACAAGAAAAUUUUCUUGUAUACAAGCGACAGCUGAGUUCCAUAUACAAUAAGCCAAAUUCAAAAUACAAACUAACUCGCACUGACGAGUUAAACCACUGAAUGUACAUGACUCCAACAAAAACAACUCCUGCUGUAGGCACCUCUAGCUCGGCUCGUCGGUAUGGCUCUAACUCCGCGCGCCUUACCUCGACAUGGCUCAGCAACCGCAGCAGCCAAAGACGAUGGCUUCUCAAAAUAUAGGUAACACUGGGCGUGAGAACUACUUACGGUAAAACACAAGUAUCCUCACUGUGUGCCGCCCUCAUAAUCAUCGGUCCACCCAUUCUAAGUCUACAGGGGUAGCAAGAUAGUAGGAAAACGAAAAGAAACUACAGCUACACUCACUAACACUAUCUGACUAGCUAAACGACCCACUCACACUGCAAACCGUCUACAAGCUACCUCCACCACUAAUUAGUCCUGUGGAGAGCAAGUCCAGAAAGGACGCAACGACACCAACGCGAACGCACAAACAGACUCCGGAGAGUACUCGUGAGCGCUACCCAACCGAGUAUACAAGCGAGUCUCUGUCGAGCUCAAUCAGGUCUCGCAGGCUAAAGUCAAAGUAACUGGGUCAUAACUGGUCUACACCACCAAGUCACGUGCCCUCGGCACAAUCUGAUCCACAAUGGCAACGCGGUCACACGUCAACGCCGACGAGCGCGCCCAAAUGUCCGGAACACGAGUCUAAACACUACUGUGAAAAAUAGACUCGUUUCAUCCUCCAGCACGAGCGUAGAAGAAUAUCUAAACUACCUGGGAUCCAUCGACACAAUACUGCGACGAACAAAAAAUAAUCAACGGCCGCCUGGGCAAGUCAGUUAGGUUUAAUACUAUGACGCGAUCAUAAUCGCAAAGUUUUUCCUAUAGCCUCAGUCUCAAGUCCAACAUAUAUAAUAUAUAUAUAUAUAUAUAUAUAUAUAUAUAUAUAUAUAUAUAUAUAUAUAUAUAUAUUUGCACAAGAAAAUUAAAUAUAUUAAGAAUAUUUGAUUCAAUUAAAAAUAUAUAUAUUAGUGUGCGUUUGGUUCGGGUUAUCCUGGCAAGAUUACAAACAAUCCUGUCAGAAUUACUAUGUUUGAUUCAUCCGGUAUGUAAUCGGUUCGAUAAUAUAGCAUUACAAAUGGUGCAAAAUUACACCAAAAAUAUUACCGAGAGGAAGGUGUGUAUCUUGGAUUACUGAAAUCAAGUAAUAUUGCAUAUUAUGUAAAAUGAUAAUUCUACCCCUUUAACUUCCGUAACCCUUUCAAUACGUUAUUUUAAAAAAUUUAAUUUAAAAUUUUGAAUUGUCAACUUUCAAAUUUUAAAUUUAAAUUUCAAAUUUCAAAGUUCAAAUUUCAAAUUUUAAAAUACAAAUUUGUAUUUUAAAUUUAGAUUUUAAUUUUUAAUUAUAUAUAUUUAUAUUUAAAUUUUAGAUUUUAAAUUUAUAAAUUUCAUAUUUUUAUUUUAAAUUAAUUUAUUAAAUUUAUAUUUUUGUUCAAAUUUAAAAAUUAAAAAUUAAAAAUUAAAAGAUUAAAUCAUUUAAAAUAAAAUUUGAUAAAAAAAAUAUUAUUUGUAAACAGUAAAAAAAAAAGUUUACAAAAUAUGAUUAAGGGCAAUUUUGGAAAUGACUAUAAUUUAUUGUCUAGAUUACUAAAUUUUAUAUACAGAACUAAACAUAGUAAUACUAUAAACACUGUAAUCUAGCAUUACAUUACUGUAUUAAACUAAACGCACUAAUACAGUAUCAGUAGUAAUCUAAUUUAGUGUCACGCCCCGGAUUGCACGUUCCCCGGGCACGCCGACAAAUCCGCCAUAUACAAAGAAAUUUUUCUUGUAUACGAAGCGACAGCUGAGUUCCAUAUACAUAAGCCAAAUUCAAAAUACAAGACUACUCGCACUGACGAGUUAAACCACUGAAUGUACAUGAACUCCAACAAAAACAACUACCUGCUGUAGGGGCACCUCUAGCUCGGCUCGUCGGGUAUGGCUCUAACUCGUGACGCCCUUGCCUCGAUCCUGAUCGGCCUCUGCAAUAAAAAAAGAUAACAACAGGGCGUGAGAACUACUGUAAAACAAGUAGGAUAGUAGUAAAUAUAUGAAUAAAAUCUACCACUAUGAAACACUAUACUAUCAUGCUCUACACUAACCAACUGUAGAAAAUAUCAAAUCUGACCCAAACUAAUCGGGACUGUAAGCAUACCCGUCUCUGGGACUGUGAACACACCCGUCCCUGCCCAGUUGCGACUAUUCAGCUACCUCCACACUAUCUAGUCCGUGGAGAGCAAGUCCAACCGGCAUGAGCGACACCAACGCGAAAGCGCAACGCCUGUCUCCGGAGUGGCACUCGUGGGAGCUACCCAACCGAGUAUGCAGCGUAUUUCUGUCGAGCUCAAUCAGGCUCUACCUCAAGCCAAAAUCCAAGUGACCGACUCUAACUGGUCUAACCACCAAUAGGUCACGUGCCCUCGGCACAAUCCGUCGCCAAAAAGACGAUACGGGUCCACCGUCAACCUCGACGGCACCCAACAGUCCGGAAUAGCCUGAACGCUACUAUAAAAAUGUAUUCGGCAUCCCAGCACGAGCGUAACUGAAAGCUAAACUAGCUGGAAUACUCAUUAUGAGGAUACUGCUACAGUAUAAAAUAAUAUAACGGCCCCUAGGGCUAAAUCAGGUAGUGUAACUUGGGCUGGCAAAUGAGCGAGCCGGCUCGCGUUCGACUCGCGUUCGACUCGAUAUUUGGCUCGCUCGAGCUCGACUCGAAAUUAAAUGAGCCGAGCUUGAAAAAAAAAAAGGCUCGAAAUUCAUUUCAAGCCGAGCUUGAGUAUUACUCAGCUCGUUCGAAUUAGGCUCGAAAAGCUCGAAAAGCUCGAAUAUAUAUAUAUAUAUAUAUAGUAGAGCUACUAUGCUAUCAAAAGUAUAGAGGAUCUGAUACUUUCGAUUUUUUUAUUCUUAGAUCAACCUCUUUAAUCAUUUUUUAUCUUUGGAUUAAUACUAUUAUUAUCUUGUAGGGACCCCUCAAUCCUAGAAAUAUUAUUUAAUCCUAGGGGAGACCGCAAUCAUCCCAACCAUACAAUUCUUAAUCAAAGGGUCAAAAAUUCGAAAAUAUCAAAUCCUCUAUAUUUUCNGCUCAGACUCACAAGUACCAGGCGAUGUGAGACUCAACUCGCUAGCCCGUCAUCCAGACCCUGGCUCAGCCGAGACUCAUCUCAUACUUCCGGCUGGUAAUUGUCUCUGAUACCAUCUGUGACGCCCCAACUUCCCAGGGGGUCAACCAUCCUAGGACUACUCCCGUCCUAGCACGCUUAACUCUCUUAACCUCUUGGGCCUUGCCACUGCCCAAAAUGCUUAAGCCGGGUUAAGAGUUUAGCCCUAUUAUAUCUCAUAUAUAGGACUAUCUGGGGUCUCACACAAGGCUCCAAUUCAGAUUAUUAACAAGACUAAAACAAUGAAUCGAGCAAUUGCGAUACUCAAAAAUAAUUCCUCUAAUACAUGUCGACUAUAUAAGCACUUAGGAGUAAGCCGAUGAUUAACCCACCUCGCACGCUAAUCCCUGGCAGCGGAACACUCUCCCAGCUGCGACACCACCUGCUGGGUCAAUCACACUCCUCCGAGUCCAGAAAUCGUCUAAGCUCGAGCUCUACGCAACAAAAUUCACCGUUUCAGUCCAGGAAUCACAGCAGCAAGGUACAAUAAAGAUUCGACUAAGCUAACCUCCACCAAAUCCAGUAAGUAAGGGCUUCAUGGAUUCCUCUCGAAGUCCCGAAUCCAACGAACCAAGUCCCGUCGAAAACCGACGCUCCUACGCCGAGUACGAACUGAAAUACCAACGGUCGAUGCUGGAAAUUCUGCAAAUCAGCACCAAGCUCGAAAUGAUAAUACUUGAAGCAAUGCAACGGAACACUCACCUCAAAGACUAAUCGGACAUCGACACGGCGUCGAGAACGGCGAAAACGCACCCUCGCCUAGCUUCCUCGCAGCGCUACGAUCCCAACCGUACCCUUGAACGGCUUCGCGGCGCGUCGUCGGCGUCGAACUCGUGCUCGCGGCUACCUCCACCGAGCUCUUUGCUUCGGUCGAACAAAGAGAGAAGUAAAAAAAUUAGGCAAUGCCCACCUGAUUUUGUUGAUAAGCAUGCAUGGGUGCGCGUGGCAUCCAAGCCACCUUAAUUAGCAUGCACGGGUGGACGUGGCAUCCAAGCCACCUCAAUUAGCACCAACCGAUUUAAAAAAUUAAUAAGUAAAUUAAUUAAUAAAUAAAUAAAACAAGGAUACUACAUUUAGAAAUCUAAAAUAUUUGGAUAUAUCAAAAUACUUUUUUAAUAUUACAUAACUCGAAGCAAACGCGCCCUUAAAGGCAUCAAAAUAGCAAUCUAUAUGUAUAAGUAAAUUAAGAUGUACAAUUCAUAAAUAUUUAGUAAAAAAAAAAGAGUUGUGAGACUCGACAGCAAUAAUUCAGAAAAUUUGAACUAGAGAUUGCAACGAAUUGAAGUUUUUUGAGAACUAAAGUGUCACGUGCUCAUAAACUGUAAUUUAUCCUUUUUUUUAUUGACACCUACUCGAUUUAAGUUUGUUUUCAUUUGAGUUAUUUCACUUAAUUAAAUUGGAUAUUUGAUCAAAUAUAUUAAUUAGUAAUUCUUUCAUAUUUCAUGGCUCUAAUUAUAACUAUUGUUCAGCUGAAAAAUAAAUUUCCGGUGGAGCCAUUAAUUUCAACAGAAUAUUCGGUUUAAUCAAGUUAUUGAAGUAAUUUAAUUCAAAAUAUAAGUUAAUGUCUCAUGGAAUUAAUGUUUGGAAUCUGGUACUCGCCUUGUUAUCAGAUUUUGAGAAUUCCCAGCCCGCUCCGAUACCGACUGUUGUUAAUCCGGUACCAAUUAUUGCCGUCGAAUCAGAUUUUUACCAUAAAUUCAUCUUCUCAGCAAAAACUAAUACAAUCACAAAAGGAAAAAAAAAUUAAACAGAAAAAUAUAAGGGUAAAAUAAAAUUCACUAAAUAAGAGAAGAUUACAACUGACUCCUCUUCUGCAAUAUAGUGGCUACAAUCCGAGCCAUCUUUUUUAAUCCCUCCUACCCUUCUCUCUUAUUCGUACAUCAUCCAAGCGCUUUCAACAAUUUGCAUAUAUAGAGCUAUAUAUAAGACUCUACCCAAGAUGUAUCCAAAUUCUAGAAUAAUUAGGAUUCCUACUUCAAUAAUAUUUAAAUCUAUAUUUAAUUUAUCUACAAUAGAUUUAAAUAUUUAUCAUAAUCUAAUUAGAUUUACACUCUAAUUAAUAUUUAAAUCUUAAUUUAUCUUCAAUAGAUUUAAAUAUUAAUUCUUAUCUAACUAAAAAAUCAACUAGAAAUCUAACCAAAUUCUAACAAUUAAGUCCUUGAAUUAAAGUGAUCAAGUAUUAAUGAAAUUAGUUCAUUUUCUCUAAUGCAUGCUUAAAUUCAAAUAAAAGUGACAUAUAUUUUUAUAGUGUUUAAUAUGAAAAUUUUGAUAUUCUUAAGGUCAAUUUGCAUAAAAAAUCCACUAGUUUUGGGCUUUUGCAAAACCGGGCUACCAUUUUCGUUUUUGCAGAUUCGGUCUACUUUUUCAAAAAGAUGACCAAACUACCCUUCUUUCAAAAUGCAUAAGAAGUACAUGUAUUAAUUGUCUUGAAAAAUACAGCUGAUAAGUCAUUAUUACAGUUACCUUUUUCUUGGAAAAUAAAAUUUUCAUUAACAUACAAAUAAAAUACUUUAAAUAAAAAAGUAAAAAAGAAAGAAUGGAAUACACCUUAAAUGGUGCAAUAUCGUUUCAAAUUGUGCAAUAUUUCUUCCAAUUAAAUAGUGUAAUAUUUGCGUAAACAGUGCAAUACUUGCACAAUUUAUAUAAUAUUGCACAAUUUUUUAUACUAAAUUACGAAUAAUAUAGUAUACUACGUGCAAAUAAUAUAACAUAUUACAAUAUACUAUAAAAAUCAUGCAUUAUAUGUAUAAACGGUGAAUAUUUUGUACUAUUUGUACAAAUAUUUACACCAUUUGUAUAGAUGUUGCACCAUUAUGAGAGAAUGUUGCAUCAUUUGAUAUUAUAUUGCAUUCUUUCUUUUUAAAAAUUAAAAUGUAUUGUAUAUUAAAUAAAGUGUUAAAUUUUCUUGGAAAUGACAACUGCUAAGUCAUAAUUAUAUGUACCUUUCUCGAGAGACGAGAAUUCUCAUUUAAUUAAGAUAAAAUAAAAAUUAAAAUAUUAUUAAUACAAUGAAAGAGUGCAACAUAGUCUCAAAUAGUGCAACAUUCUCUUCCAAAUAGUGCAAUAUUUAUGUAAAUAGUAUAAUAUAUGCAUCGUUAAUAUACAUAUUGCAUGAUUUUUAUACAAAAUUACGAAUAAUAUAAUAUAUUACGUGAAAAUAACACGAAAAUAAUAUAACAUAUUACAAUAUACUAUAAAAAUCAUGCAUUAUAUGUAUAAACGGUAAACAUUUUGCACUAUUUGUACAAAUAUUUACACCAUUUGUAUAGAUGUUGCACUAUUAUGAGAUAAUGUUGCACCAUUUAGAUGUUAUGUUGCACUUUUUUUAAAAAAAAAUUAAAGUGCAUUGUAUAUUAAAUAAAAUGUUAAAUUUUUUGGAAAUGACAACUGCUAAGUCAUAAUUACAUGUACUUUUCUCGAGAGACGGGAAUCCUCAUUUAAUUAAGAUAAAAUAAAAAAUAAAGUAUCAUUAAUACAAUAAAAGAGUGCAACAUCCUCUUAAAGAGUGUAACAUAGUCUCAAAUAGUACAACAUUUUCUUUCAAAUAGUGCAAUAUUUUUAGAAAUAAAGAGUGCAAAAUACUAUAAAAAUCAUAUAUUAUAUUAUAAAUGGUGCAUAUUCUGCACUAUUUGUAUAAAUAUUUACACCAUUUGUAUAUAUAUUGCACUAUUAUGAGAGAAUGUUGCACCAUUUAGAUAGUAUGUUGCACUCUUUAUUUCUAAAAAUUAAAGUGCUUAUCUAUUAAAUAAAGAGUGCAAUUUCUUGGAAAUGACAACUGCUAAGUCAUAAUUGCAUAUACCUUUCUCGAGAGACGAGAAUACUCAUUUAAGACAAAAUACAAAAAAAUAAAGUAUUGUUAAUAAGAUGAAAGAGUGCAACAUUCUCUCAAAUAGUGCAACAUCCUCUUAAAUAGUGCAACAUUAGAGAGAAUGCUGCACUAUUUCAUUUUAAUGUUGCAAUCUUUCAUUUGUACAUAUAUUAUAUAAUUUUUAUAAUAUAUUGUAAUAUAUUAUAUUAUUUUCGCGUAAUAUACUAAACUGUACGUAACUUAGUGUAAAAAUCAUGCAAAAUGUGUAUUAACAAUGCAUAUGUUGCACUAAUUAUACAGAUAUUGCACUAUUUUGAAGAGAUUGUUGCACUAUUUGAGAGGAUAUUGCACUCUUUCAUCUUAUUAAUUAAUCUUUAUUUUUUUUUAUUUUCUCUUGAAUGAGGUUUCUCGUUUCACGAGAAAGGUACAUGUAUAUAAUUAUGCCUUAGCAGUUGUAAUUUCCAAGAAGUUUGACACUUUGUUUAAUAUGCAAUAAAAUUUAAUUUUCAAAAAAAAAGAGUGCAAUUCACAUCUAAAUGGUGCAACAUUCUCUCAUAAUAGUGCAAUAUCUAUGCAAAUGGUGUAAAUAUUUGUACAAAUAGUGCAAAAUAUUCACCGUUUAUACAUAUAAUGCAUGAUUUUUAUAGUAUAUUGUAAUAUGUUAUAUUAUUUGCGCGUAGUAUACUAUAUUAUUCGUAAUUUAAUAUAAAAAAUUGUGCAACAUUAUAUAAAUUGUGCAAGCAUUCCACUGUUUAUACAAAUAUUACACUAUAUGGAAGAAAUAUUCCACAAUUUGAAACGAUGCUGCACCAUUUAAGGUGUAUUCCAUUCUUUCUUUUUUACUUUUAUUAUUUGAUAUUUUUUAUUUGUAUGUUAAUGAGAAUUUUAUUUUCUAAGAAAAAGAUAACUGUAACAAUGAUUUGUCAGUUGUAUUUUUCAAGACAAUUAAUGCAUAUACUUCUUAUGCAUUUUGAAAGAGAGGUAGUUUGGUCAUCUUUUUGAAAAAGCGGACCGAAUCUGCAAAAACGAAAAAGGUGGUCCGGUUUUGCAAAAGCCCAAAACUUGUGGAUUUUUUAUGCAAAUUGGCCCAUUCUUAAUUCUGCAUGUAUAAAAGAGCUAGGUAGGUGACCUUGUUUCUAAGGUGAUGUAUAAAUUGUAGGGUUUAGAGCUAACUUACACUUUUGGUCCUCAAAUUAUGAGGUGCAUGACACUUUUAUUCUCAAACUUUAUUCUAUGGCAAAGUUUUUACUCAAAUUUUGUGAAUUGUGUAAUUAAAUGUUACAAUCCAAUUUUAACUAUAUAUCAACGUAUCAGUCAUAUAGAUAUGAUAUGUCAUCUUAAUAUUGUCACGUCAUCAGUCAGAACACUAUUACAAUACUUUCACAUUAGCAAUAAAAAGUUAUAGUAAAUUAAAAUUUGAGGAUUAAAAUGCCGCACAGCUUAUAACUUGAGGAGCAACUAUGCAAUUUAUCCUUAUUAAAUUUAACUUUUACAUAUAUAUAGACACAUUUUGGAAGAGAAUCAACUAUGCUUAUAUGUGCAUGUACAUACUAUGUAUGUGUAUAUAGAGGGGAUGCUCCGUUUUGCAGCAUGGAGUGCCGACAGGAGCAGAUGGAGAUGGACAAAGCUCUCGAGCAAGAACGUCGGCAUUACUGUAUUAGCUCUUCUUCUUCUUCUUCGACUACUGCAGUUGCAACUAUACCUACGAUCACAAACUACACUACUGAUGAGAACUCUACGACGACGGGGAAGGGCAACAAAGGCAAAGUUAUGAGCAUUCGCAAGUCGUCAACCAUGAACCUUACGGCUGCAGGCACUGCUGCUAUGGUUGUUGGUUAGGUUACGUUUUCAGGAUGCACGCAUAAAACAACAUAUAUGAGAUGUAUGUUUUUGUGUGUAUAAGCGCGCGCACGGGAGAAAGAGAAAGAGAUCCAUGUGUAUUGUUACUUUCUCCAUAUAAAGAUUAACUAUUGCUUGUAAGAGAUUAAGAGGCCUAUGGUUUGUUGUAAUUGUAAAUAUAGUGUAAUUGGAGUAUGUGCUGUUGCUUUCUCCAUAUAAAGAUUAACUAUUGCUUGUAAGAGAUUGAGGGGCGUAUGGUUUGAUGUAAUUGUAAUUGGAACUGUGCGCAAUUAAAAAUGCAGUAGUUAUAAUUGUAGUAUUUUGUUUGUUUGGAUGCAUGUUAUAUAAAGUGUUGCAACUGUAUAAUAUAUUUUGCUUGUAUAUGGAUAUGGUAGAGAAUUUUUAUAACAACAUUAUAUUAUUUUUCACACAUGAAGUGGUAAGUUUAAUUACCUCUAUAUAGAAAACAAAAAAUAUUUUAUGUUUAUAAGGUUAUUAGGAAGGUAAGGUGGCUUUUUAUUUAGAGCAACUAUUUCGAACUUCUAUAUUGACUUUUAAUAUACCUAACUUUUUAAUUUGUUUGAUUUAAAUUAUUUGAUGGCUCUUUCAACAUAAAAUUUAAGCUAAUUUAUUAUUUUAACAAAUUUAUAAUUAUAUGAAUUAUAUAAAAUUAUAUUAAAGAGAGUUAUAAAGAUAAGCAAUAUAUUCAAAUUUUAAAGCUAAAUAUCAUUAACCGGCUCACGAGAUCAAAUAAAUUAAAAUGUUAGGCAGCAAAAUAAAAAUUUAAACAAUAAGUAACCAUAUAAAAUGUGUGAUAGUUGAAGUAAUUAAGUUGUAUACAUUUCUACCAUAUAAAUAUAAAAAUGAUCCUAUGCUGUCCACAUGGUGCCAUAAUAUUUUAUAGUUGGCCUUGAUGAGAUUCAGAAGAACACAAUAAAUCAUUACUGUGUUAUAUUUAAUUUAAAGGUUAAAACAUACAAAGUUUACUUAAGUUAUGAAUCAUUUGAGUUAACUAUCAAUGCUUUUAAAUAUUUUGAUUUUACUGUCCAAUCUUUAAAUUUAUUUCACUUAAAUCACUCAACGGCAUUAUUAUUUUAAAAUUUGAAUGCAUUAUAUAUUUAAACACAUUUAGUUUAGUAUCCUUCAUACAAUUUCGCAACUGUAAAUUAAUUAAAAUAAGUAAUUAUUUUAAAUUUUAAAGUCAAAAGGUUGGAUAGAAAAAUUAAAAUUUUAAAAUAUUGUGUAGUCCAUUCAAAAUAAUCUAUAAUUCAGAGGAGUUUUGUACUUUUUACCUAGUUUAAAUAAAUUUAUGUAGAAUUAAUUAUGAAAUAAAAUUUUGUAAAGGGCCAAAUGAUAAAAAAAAAGUAAAUUGCACUUACCCCCUAAACUUUUGGCAAAAUUUUUCUGUACCCUCCAAACUCCUAAAAUGGAUAUCUAACACUUUAAACUAUAAUAUUUUAUUCGUCUUACCCUAUCCAUUAGUUUUCGAUUAAUAGAGCUUGAUGGAAAACUGACGAAAAGAGUAACAUGAAUGAAAUAUUAGAGUUUAGGGUGUUAAAUGUUCAUUUAGGAGUUCAGGGGGUAAAGUGAAAUCUGUCAAAAGUUUAGGGGGGUGAUAGUGCAAUUUACCCCUUUUUUAACAAAAGAGUAUUUAAUUGUGUCAAAGUGAGAGUUCCAAGAAAAAAAUAUUAAAAAAAUAAAAAGAAAAAAAGCAAAUGAAUUGGACCACUACUGAUAUUUGAAGAAUGAGAUAAUAUUCAGUAUAUCUUAAUCUAUAAUCACUAAUUUAUUUUUAAAAAAUUUAAUUUAUUAUAAAAUAGUAUUUUAUAUUUUUAUAUUAAAAUUUUCUAAUUUGCUGAAAAGAAGUACAAAAAUUUUACUUUAAGCUAAAAUAAAAUUACAUUGCAUAGUUUCAUAGGAACUAAGUGCAUUUUCUAAAACAAUAUUUUUAGAGUCAAAAGGACAAACGAGUACUACAAUAAAUUAUCAUCCGAGUGAAAAUAGCUAUUGUAAAUUAAUCAUAUUAGCGAGUACACCAGAAGAGUAGGGUGUUCGAGUAUUGUAGCUAGUUCGUAUUGCUUUUUUCUUAUCUUUAAGCCACUCUAAUUUAUUUUUUUCUCUUUUAUUUUAUUACAAUAAAAUAUAGGAUAAAUUAUGAUAUGAUUUAUUUUAGAAUAAAAAAUAUAUAUAAAUUCAAAAUCAAGUAUGAUUACUAAUUUUAAGAUCGGUAGUCAAUUCAUAAAUAACAUAUUAUAAUAAAAUAAUUUAUAGUUAAGAGUGUUAGAGCUUUUUGGAUAAAUUGUACUAUUAACUUCUGAACUUUUGAAGUUUUACUUUAUCUCCUAAACUCCUAAAAUGGAUAUCUAAAAUCCUAAACUUUGAUAUUUCAUUUAUGUUAUUUUUGCCGUCAGUUUUCGAUUAACAGAUCUUAAUGGAAAACUGUCGAAAUGGAUAAUAUAAUUAAAAUAUUAGAAUUUAGAAGGUUAAGUAUUCAUUUUAGAAGUUCAGAAAGUAAAGUAAAACUUUAGCAAAAGUUGUGGGAGUAACAGUAUAAUUUACCCUUAAAAAAAACCCUUUGUAAUAUCUCCAUAUCUACCGUUUUCAUUACGUUUUCAUUAUUAUUAUUAUUAUUAUUUAAUUAAAUUUCCAUCGUAAGUGCGCGGAAUUAAAAUCUCCUCCACCACUUCCUCUCUCUCUCUCUCUCUCUCUCUCUCUCUCUCAGAACCAAAACCCUCGCCUUUAAUUCUCACACAAGAGCUCUCUCUCUCUCUCUCUCUCGCGCACACCGAAACCCUCUUGUAAUCGUGCGAGAGUGCGGGGACGCGGCGGAGGCGGCGGCGGAGGCGAUGAGAGGGUCGGCGGGGCGGCGUUGGUCGGCGGCGGCGGCGGCAUGGGUGCGGCGGCAGCCACCGAAGGCGAAGGCGUUCCUGGGGGUGGUGGCGGGCAUGGCGGCGCUCGUCCUCAUCCGCGCCCUCGUCCACGACCACGAUAACCUCUUCGUCGCCGCCGAGGCCGCCCACGCCCUCGGCAUCUCCGUCCUCAUCUACAAGCUUAUCAAGGAGAGGACCUGCGCCGGUUCGAUUCAAUCUCUUUGCUCUCGUUUUUCUUGUUAUAAUCACUCUUGUUGUUGUUUGAUGUGAAAUCGAAGUUUUUUUUUUUCCCCUAAUCUUUUAGGAUUAGAGAUUCAGCUUAAACUGGAAAUGGGCGAAUUGAAGAUUAGAAGGACAAAAUUUUGAAGUGAGAUGUGGGGAGGGGUUUCAAAAUUAGGGUUUUUUUUUUUUUUUUUUUUUUUUUUCCUGUCAGAGGAUCAUUUUUUUCAGAAUGAAUGCAUUAGGCUAUGUUGGGUCUUUUGGGUCGGUUUGAUUCAAUCCUUAUCAUCCUUUAGGGUUAGAGAUUCGGCUUAAUUUGGAAAUUGGAGAAUCGUUUUUUCUUAUUGAAUUGUAUACUGUGUAGUGAAUGCAGCAGCUUGUAUUUGAUGAGAAAUAGAUGUGUUAUCUUUACCUUUGAAGCAUAGGGAUCCUGUUUAAUUUGGUUUUUGGGUGAUAAAUAGAAGCUAGGAAAUGGAGGAAUUGAAGAUUAGUGAGAAGAAGUUUGAAGCUGGGGUGAAUUGGGUUUUGAGGUUAGGGUUUUUCCUGUCAGAGGAUAUUUUUAUAGCAAAUGCAGUAGGCUAUGAUGGGAAUUUUGGGUCAGUUUAACACAUUUCUUAUCCUCCUAUUCUCGUUAGAUUGUUGUUGUUGUUGUUUGAGGAAAUAUAGAUCUGUUAUUAUUACCUUUUCUUAAGGAUGAUAGAUCCUGGUUAAUUUGGUUUCUUGGAAGUAGAAUAAGUGAGGAAAUUGCGAAAUUGAAGAUUAGAAGGACCAAAUUUUGAAAGUGAGAUGUGGGAUGUUGGUGGUUCAAUAUUAGGGUUUUUUCCCUGUUUAAUAGUAUGCUCUUUAGAGAGUGUUGUAGGUUUUGGUCAAAUACUUCCAAAUUUUUUCUUGAUUUGUUGCUUGUUUUUUAGUAGAAUGUGUUUUUUGGGGAAGAGUUGUUGAUUUUUUCAGCCUUUUAUGCCAUUGGUUUGUUGUCAUUCGACAGUGUUGAAGUACAUAGCAGAUCAGGGAAGACUAGCUUGAGGAAUUGGUUGGACAAUUUGAUAGUGGUUUUGGGAAUUAAUGAGUUUGCAGAUUUUGCUUCUAAAGUUAGCCAUCCGAAUUCGAUGACUGCUAAUUACUGGUUGUCGAUUUCCUGCCAACUGGAAUAGUGUUGCAGCCUUUUUCCCUAAUUUUAGUUUUAUACUAGUGAGAAUUAUUUUGCCACUAGUACGGGAAAUGUAUAUUUUUGGGCAUAUUACUGCUCUUCUAACUGGCUGUAGAUUGCUAUUGCACGGCUUUGAUUAAGAGAGUUAACCCAGAAAUUUGUUUGUCGGUUGAUCUUCUUUUAUUGGAGCAUGUUCUUAUGAGGCACAGAGAUGCUACAAAAUUGGCACAUUUUUUCUAAGACAUUGAAAAGAAUCUAUUUGAGCUUUAAGUUCAAGAUUGUGUGAGGUUUGUAAUUGGAUCCGCCUUAGGGUUUAGAGCUUAGGUUGUACUAUGUAAUCAGUUAUCACAUUGUUUUCUUUGUCAUGCUUUUCUGGGGCACACAAACUCCAUCCUAACUAUUAAAAUAACUAGUGAACAACCGGGCAAGCUUGUCCUCUCCCCAUAACCUGCCUGCAAAGGAAAAUGGGGCUAUGUACCCUCUUUGCAUUGCCUGGUGAAACACCCUGUUCUCAUCCUGGCCCUUUUAACAAAGACUUUCCAUCCCAAUCCCAGCUAACCCACCUAAAAUUCAACCAGCUCUACCUGAAACAAUAAGAUCUAUAUCUAAAUUGUUAUAAACUUACAAAUAAUGAAUUGAGUUAAUAUGUUUAAUUCUUCCUCUUCUUUAUUCAAAAUGGGGUGGGUUCGAGUCGGUUUGUGCAGGAGUGGGAUGGAUCUCAAGUCCAUUCUAGCUCCAAACCUGCAAUGGAAUGAAAACUUCUAUCCUAUCCUUGCUCCAUUCCCAGUUUAGGUUGGCCCAAAAUUCACCUAUCGGAGGUGGGUCCCUGUAGGUUCCCCUGCUUAUUCGCCCUAUUGCCAUCCCUGAAAUUGUACCCACCAGCUAGUAUGCAUCACAUUUGCUUGGAUAGCCCUCUCCUUAAACAUAUCUUUUAACUUGUAAAUAUGCUGGUUGUAAAGAAGUUCAUCUUCGCCAUCUGACAUGCCAUUUAGAAAGUUUUUCUAUUUUUCUAUUUAACUCCCUUGUGGUCAAGAUGGGGUGGAUGUGACUAGUAGUUCUCUUUGUGUGACACUGAUUUUUAACUUGUAAACAUGAUGCCUAUAUUUUUACUUGGCAUGAGAUCCUGUAAGGGUGCAACCGCGCAAGCUAGAAAUCUAUGUAUUUCUUUCUUCUUUGCAAGCCAAUUUGUAUGUUGAUUAAUCUCUUUGUGAUUAUGAGAGGUUUGCCACAGCAAUGAACAAAUGGAUGCAUAGUCAUGGAUCUUUUUCAUCCUUUUAUCUGACUUGUGCAUAUUUGUGUAGUCAGUGACAUGAUAUUUCAGCUUUGAGGCCUUGUUCGGAAUCUACAAAAUUAUAUGAUACAGUUUUGUAGCUAUAUAUUUUUGCCAUGUUGGUUAAAUAAUUUCGUUACUUCAUUGCUUGUGGAUUUUGUUAUUUGGGUAAUUUUAGUUUUUCCAAAUGUUCCAUCAAUUUAUUCUCCUUAAUUUUUGAAUAUUUCAGGACUAUCCCUCAAGUCUCAGUAUUUAACAGCUCUCUUUCUAGCUGUUAGAUUAUACUGUAGUUUGGUUAUGGAAUAUGACAUCCAUACCUUGCUGGACAGUGCUACACUUGCAACUACUUUGUGGGUUAUAUAUAUGAUCCUUUUUAAACUCAAGGCGAGUUACAUGGAGGAUAAGGACAACUUUGCAAUACAUUAUGUGGUAAGACAUGCUUCUGUAAUUUGAAUGCUGUCAUUUCAUGCAGUGUAUUCUGCUUCGGAUCUAUCAUGUAGGAACUUCUUUGCUGCUUUCACUAAGACCACCUAUUCCUUCCACGCUGCUGCCACCACCACCUCAUGUCAUCUACAGGUGGAGACUAGCCAAGCUGGGGCAAGCUUACCUCAGCUCAAGUUUGGCUUGAAAUUAAUUUCGAGUCUAAAUUUAGGCUCAAACUCGGCUUGAAAUUAAUUCGAGUUGCACUCGAACGAGCCUAACUUCGAGUUGAGAGAGCUCAAGCCCUAAACGAGCCACUCGAAAUUCUUAACAUCAUGCAAUCUACAAUUUAUUUUUCAUAGAACAUUAUCUAGAAUUUGAUACAAAAACAUGUCUAAUAGUUCAACAUACAAAAUAAAUACGUGAAAUACGGUAUUAUAAUAUUAAGGAGAACGAUUUAUGAGUUGAUAUAUCUAACCUUGUAACAAAUGUUCAUUUCUAUUUCUAUUUUUGUUCCAGCCUCGCAUGUGAAAUAGAGAGAGAGUAAUUAGGGUAGGGUUUUGCUAGUUUGAUCUGGUGGGCCAGCAAAUAACCUUAACUCUAUAUACAUAUAAUUAAAAUACAUAAUAUAUAUUAUUAUAUAUAAUUAAAAUAUACUAUAUAUAAUUAUAUAUAUUUAUAAAUAUUUUUAAUAUAUAUAUAUAUAUAUAUAUAUAUAUAUAUAUAUAUAUAAUACUAGAGUGAGGCUACUAUGCUAUCGAAGCACGGAGCCUUCCGUGCUUCCAGCUCGUUCGAUGUUGCGACUUUCGAAUCGUCGAUCGCUCCGUUAAAGUUGAUCUAGAGUAUUUGAAGUAUCUAGAAAAUAAAUUUUAUGAUUUUACGAUAAUCAUUUGCCUAGUGAACGAAGGGGCUCAAAAUCAACGGCUGAAAAUAAAAAUCUUACAAAAUGUAAUAAUAUGACAUUAAAAUUUUAAAUCAAAGAUAUUGAUCUUGUUUUAUAUAGUAUAAAGAAUUUUCUAUCAAAAUUUCACGUGAUUUGGAUAUUUCUACACCGUUAAACUUGCAAACGGCUCACUACGGCCAUUGAAAUUUGUUGAUUUUGAGCCUAUUCGAUCACUAGGCAAAUGAUAUCGAAAAAUAAUAAAAUUUAUUUUCUACGUACUCCAAAUACUCUAGAUCAAGUUUAACGGAGCCGAUCGACGAUUCGAAAGUCGUAACAUCGAAAACAAGCUGGAAGCAUGGAAGGCUCCGUGCUUCCGAUAGCAUAGUAGCCUCACUCUAUAUAUAUAUAUAUAUAUUCGAGCUUUUCGAGCCUAAUUUGAGCAAGCCUAGUAAUACUCAAGCUCGGCUUGAAAUAAAUUUCGAGUUUUUUUUUUUUUCUUUUCAAGCUCGGCUCAGGUAAUUUCGAGUUGAGCUCAAGUGAGCCGAAUACCGAGCCGAAUGUGAGCCAAACGCGAGCCGAACACAAGCCGGCUAGCUCAUUUGCCAGCCCUAAUGUCAUCAUCUUGCUAGCUUCUGUAUCACUAUCACAAUUGACUUCCUUCGUCUGUUGUCAUCACUAUAACAAGAUAGCGCUCUUUCUCUUGUUGUUUUAGGUUAUAUGAGAAUUCUUCUAAAACGACUGUACAUAUGAAGGUUGAAACAUGGGAAAUGACAAAUCCCAUGAAAACUGACAUGUGAUCUAAAUUGAGACCUAUUUGUCAAAUGUGAUCUCUGGAAAAUUGAUUCCAGUCAUGACUUUCAAGACUAGAUUUUGUGAAGUAAAUAGCCUUUUGGAGCCAAAUGAAAAACUGUAUAGUCAAGGAAGAUUAGAUAGCAAGAAGAUGAGGAGGUCCUGAUAUUUCUUCCUUACAGUUGACAUGUUUGCUUAUUUUUCUUUUAUGUUUUGUAUUCUCUAGAUGAUAUUAAUGUGGUUUUUGUUGCGUGUGUUUUGAAGUUGGUUGUAAGAGGAAUCUCUUGGUUGCAUUGAUGUAGAGAUUUUCUUCAGCAACUAAACUAGUUGGAUUUAGCAGCUAGUUGUUAUGUCAAAAAAUUAUGGAAAGUGUUACUGUGGUUGAUCCUGUAUGUUUUUUAAGUUUCCUUAGCCACCGUUUGGUUCGGGGUUAAGAAAAAGUAGCUAUUCCAGGGAUAGGGUUAAGUUCAGGGUUAAAAUGGUGUUAAAAUUUUUUUAUGUUUGGUUGGAGGUUGGAGUUAGUCUAGGAUAGUGAACAAAAGUGUUUGGUUGGAGUAGGUGGGAUAAGAAGAUAAUGAUUGAUAAAGAAGAAAAAGGUGAGGGCUCGGGAUGUGUGCGGGGUUAAAGUUGGGAGGGAGAGUGGGGUUAAUGAUUGAUAAAGAAGAAAAAGGUGAGGGCUCGGAAUGCGCGCGGGGUUAAUGUUGGAAGGGGGAGUGGGGUUAGUAAACCCCACUAACCCGGUUUGGGGUCGGGUUUACUAACCCCACCCCUUAAGAGUGGUGUUUGGGUAUAAAUUGGGGGUUAAGGGGUUAUUCCACCCCUUAACCCCCAACCAAACGGUGGCUUAGUAUUACCACUUUUGUUUUUUAUCAGCUUAAACUUAUAAGAUGUCAUCAAUUCAUUUGAGAUGGUUUGGAUAUCUCCAGGCAACAGAAGAACACUAAAAGAAAGAUAGAAUACUGAGUGAAGAUAUAGCAACCAUUGUAUUAGAUCACUUAAAUGUUGCAUAACUCUUAAUACGGCUGAAUGGAGAAAGAUGAUUCAUUUAAUGGCCGGUAUUAGUUGGUUUAUAAGCGUUUGCUGAUGUUAUUGCUGUGGCAUUGGUUUUGGUCACUAGAAAUGAACUGCUAAACUUGUGGUGGUUAAAGCUAGAGGAUACUCAGUUUCCUUAUCUUAAUGUAGUUUCAUCUAUACGUUUACUAUAUUGAAACUCACUACCACGUAGAUGUCAAUGAUAACCUUCUGGCUUAAGGAUUGAAGUGGUAAGAAGUCAGUUGAGAGAUACUAACAAUAUCUCGGUUGAAAUACAUCUUUUUGGAUGGGAAAGAUUUAAAUUGACUUCUUGGAACAGUUUUAAGGAUUUGGAACAUUCAUCGUCAUUAGUGGUCCAAAAUCAUGAAGUAAUGAAGAGUAAUACGUAAAAUGUUUAAUUCAUACUAUUUUUCAGCAAGAUUUUCCUCAAAUCAUGCAUCCAAACAUUGAUAUAUGGUGAACGGUUUGAUGAAGGAACCAGUAAUGAUUUUCUUGCAUUUUUUCAUUCUUUUAUUCUAUCACAUAUAAGCCUGUAGCUGUAUUAAGUAAUAAUUAAAUAAAUAUUGUGUAACAGGUGUUGCCUUGUGCCUUGUUGGCCCUUCUUAUUCAUCCUUCAACAUCACAUAAUAUAAUAAACAGGAUCUUUUGGGCCUUUUGUGUUUACCUGGAAGCUGUUUCUGUGCUGCCUCAACUACGGCUGAUGCAAAAUACAAAGGUAAUUUGGGAAAUAAAAGUCCAAUUAAUUUAGGAGGCAGUAUUCCUCACACUCUUUUUUUGUUUGUUCUCAGAUCGUAGAACCCUUCACAGCUCACUACGUGUUUGCGUUGGGAGUAGCUAGAUUUUUGAGUUGCGCACAUUGGGUUCUUCAGGUCAGAGUGUCAAAAAUUUUCUUAUGUCUUUUUGCAUUUAUUUGAUAAGCUUCGAUUAAUCUUAUGUUAUUUAUAUUAUUCUGCAUGGUUGUAUCAGUAUAGUUUAUCUAUAUGAGUAUAGUUUUGGUUAUCUACGUAUUGACCUUAUGUUAUUAAUUGGGUCCAGCCGUCAGGUGUUAUUACAUUUUUCUAUGGGAGAGAUGGUGUGGCAGUUGACUCCACUCCCACAUCAUCUCUUGAAGAGGAUAUGGCAUCUGAUUCACAGUAGCCUUGGAGAUGAUGUAAUUUAGCUUAGACUCAAGCAUAAUUGAAAACGAAGUUCAACGCAUCAAUUGCAAGGAUUUGAAGUUUGGUGACCUAUUUAUCAUUUGUUUAGUGGCUAAUGGUCUAGUUUAUACUAUUUUGUUUUUAAAUUGUGAACGGAAAUAUGCCUAUAGUUUUCUAACUACAACUAAAUAAGUCGGCUAUUUAGUGCUAGUAUGUUUGUACAAUAUGAAUAAAUAAACUUUCCAUGAUUCAGGUUUUGGAUACUCGUGGACGACUGUUGACUGCUUUAGGGUACGGAUUGUGGCCGCCUGUGGUUCUUCUCUCUGAAAUUGUCCAAACUUUCAUCCUCGCGGAUUUCUGCUAUUAUUAUGUUAAGAGGUAAUUAAACUGCCAACAUUCCACAUGGUACACCUUGUAAUAUUAUUGGUCUUUUGGGAUUUAUGGUUAACAAAAAAGGAAAAAGUACACUUUUUCAUUGUUUUGCAAUUUUUGUCCAUUUUGUCGUUUAUGAAACUGGUAUAAAAUCUCAUUUCAGGAGUGAAAUGCCCCUGACAUGAAUUUAUACACUAAGAAAGAAGAUAUUUCAGACAUUAAACAACUAAAGUGGACUGAAAUUGCAAGAUCAGAAAACUCGGGCCUUUUUCUUCCCCCUUUUUUUUUGUGCGUGCAGAGUGCUGAAUAAUAUUCUAAUAAUUCCUAUGGUUUCGAUUACAGUCUUGUAGGCGGGCAAUUGGUUCUACGUCUUCCUUCCGGAGUGGUGUAACAGAGGAGAAACGUUCGCUGCUUCUCAGGUUUAGUAUAUUCUGAAAUAACAACUCAAAUUGGAGGUAGGUGUCCUUUUAAUCUUGUAUUCCCUUCGUCAGUCGCGAGAUUUGAGCUACAUCUUGUGAUAUUUUGAGGUAUAAAUCAAUUGCAGUAAGUUGUACCAAAUCUUAAAUAUAAAAAUGUAGAUAUUUGGAAGGGGGGAAAUGAGUAAAACUAGAAGAGCUUAGCAAUCGCAUUUUUAACACCUAUGUGAUUGAUUGCAUGCAUAUUUAUAUGCUUCAGGGUGCUUAUUUGUGUGUAUUUGGAUUCGCGAGCCGUAUUUGUGCUGCUUGGGCUAAUAAUUAGGUUAAUUUGAGGUUUGUUUCCAAAUGUUGAUAACUUGACCUAAACUGUUACAAAAGGUCUUCCAUGUGAUAACGUUGUCGUCGUCUCAUCCUUUUCCGGGCUAGAUGGUGGGUUUGUUGUCUACUGGCCUGAUGUCGUUGGGAAAGUCUUGUUAGUGCUUUUUCGAACAGCUUAUCGAAUCGUCACUUGUAAGUUGUUGUAUAGAAGAAGCUCCACCUGAGCCAAUUAGGUCUCAGAAAAUUCCUCUUCAUGAUUAGUUUAUCUACAUUUGAAUCUGAGGGAGUUAAUCUACUACUCCAUGUAGUAGAAAAUCAUUCCUUUUAUUAUUAUUAUUUUUUUAAUAUCUUCCGAAGAAUGUUUCAAAUGUUUCUUAUUGUUUUUUGGGUGGACAUCAAUUUGCACCCCUGAGGUUUAUCUUGUUUUUACUUUGUCACUCUAUAGUUUAAAAGUUGCAUUUAAUUAAUUACCCCGUAAUUUUAUCUUUAGGGUGCGUUUGGUUCGCGCUAUCUUUUAAAGAUUCCUAUUAAUCCAAUAGGAAUAAAAAAAUAUGACGGUAUUUGACUAAACGCACUAGGUAAUCUAGUUGGUAAUAUUAAAUUUACUUGGGAGUAAGAUUCACCCCAAAGUACUAAUCUCAUUUCCUUAAGGAAAGGUGGGUAUUCUCAUAUUAAUGGAUUGAGAUAAUCAUAAUAUGUCUAAUCUCUUUCUUUCUUCCUACCCGCCGGGUAAUUGAUAUUAUUUUUCUUUACACUCUAACCUUAUAUCUCUCUCUAAACUUAUUUUUCUCUCUAAAAUUUAACUUUUUUUUCUCUCUCUAAACUAAGCUUUCUCUCUCUCUUUCUAAAAUUUCAACUCUCUCACUCCCUCUAAUUUUGACUAUAUUUUCUCUAAUUUCGACUAUAUCUUUCUUUCUAUGUUUUUAAUUAUGCUCUCUCUCUAACUUAUACUCUCUCUCCCUUUUUUUCUAAAAAGAUGUUGAAACUUUCGGUAACAUUAUUUAAAAUUAAAUAAAUAAAUUAAUUAAUUAAUUGUAUAUUUUUUGUAAUAUUAAAUAACAUGGCUAAUUAAUAUUAUUGUGCGAACCAAACACAGGAAUUCUACAUUCUUAGUAAUAGGAUGAAUAGGAAUAAGAUUCUUGAAUAUCUUUUAUUCUUAGUAAUCUUUCAUAAUGCGAACCAAACGCACCCUUAUGUUUAUCUUAAAAACUACUAUCAAAUAAGGUAGUGGAUAACCAUAGUCUUUUUUGUUUUUUAAU
rnacentral:lncRNA from 1 species